GGGAGAGGGUGGGUAGAAAAGACUUUCUUCUAGCCAAGCUUGAGCUGAUAUACUGGUGUAUGCAAACAGCGGACUUCUUAUCAUUAAUGAAAAGCAUUUACAAUUAUACAAUCUCUGACCCAAAAAAAAAACCAUGAAAAAUGGAUACAUCAUGGGAUAAUGUUGAAGGUACUACAAGAUCUCAAAUGUUGUUGAGGUUACCUCAAGUCUCUAGGUUGUCAGACAUAGAACUACCUAAUAAGUACCAUUUUUUUAAUUGCUCUUGAAGCAUCCAAGAGACCAAAAAAAGAAAAAAAGAGAGAAUCUGACGUGGACCAAGCCAAGAGUUUUCUUUUGGUCAUCCCAUGUUUUUUGGAAGAAAGCUCCAAACAAUGAGUAUAAUCAGCACAUCAGAUGUGAAGUUCCAUGAUAAAUGGCGAAAAUAAAGCAGGCCUAAGAAGACUGACAGGCAAAGGAGGUUGUUCAUGCUCACCGCCCCAUAUAUCUGCAGUAAACAAUUCAUGUAGAGCUACAAAUUAGAACGUCAUAACUAGAACCGAAAAGUCACCACGUUCAAAGUGCAAGGGGAGAGGCAAACCUUUGAAAAUGUUAAAGAAAUCCUCAUCUUGUUUUGGCUGGCAAACAUUAGAGCUGCCACUGCCUCACUGGAGAUGGCGAAAGGCAGAACAGUAAAUGAGACAAGGAAAGAAGGAAUGUUUGUAUCAGUGGAGAAGUUGCCGACAGCAUUGAUAAGAGAAUCAGCAAAUGUAGCAGCUAUCAGAGAUCCCAAAAGCAGCAUCAGCACUGCUUUAGAGGCACUCCAUUUGGGGUUUUUGAUCUUUGCAACCUCAUCACUCUGAACACCCAGCAGUUCAUGCUCUCUGUUUGCCGCCUGCAAAUACAUUAAAAUGUUACAACACUAACAGUAAGGAUUCAAUCAGGACUGGACAAAGAAUAACACGGCAUUGAUAGCAUACCAAAUUGAAGUGGUCUACAACUAGUCUUGUCUUCAAAUCAUUGUCACUGGAACAAGCUGCUGAAUUCUUACUACGCCAUUUUGAGAUUUCUUUGAUAAACACAUCGAUAUUAAUUUUAGAAUCCCCACAUGAAUCAAAAUCUCUCAUUACUUCUCCAACAUCAUCAUCAAUGGCUGAAUCUUUGUCUUUAAUCGGGAAUCCUGUUAUCAGUGCUCUUAACUCACUAGCAGAGAUCAACUGAUCUGAAUUCUCUCCAAUCACCUCAUAUAACCUUCUCAUAUCUUCUACAUCAGGUUCAUCAUUAGCUGUUAAGAGCCUUCCCAAUGAACAACAUUUCAAUUUUUUUUCAGUUCUAGGCAUAAUAUGCUUGGGGUUUGCAUAUGUAAUUCUUCUUUUCAAAAUAGAAGGGUGAAAGACCUGCAACAAUAUUUCAUUUGAAAGUUACGGAGAAGGUAGCAUAAGAAAACGUUUGGUUAUUGAAAAUACAAAAUAUGUCAAUAAGAAGCAAAAUUUGAGUUCAAGUGGACAAAUACCUGAUAAAGGCAAUAUGCAAGCAAUAAAGAAACAGAGAUAAUGAGUGAAAUCAAGACCACUAAGCAAAUCGGUGAAGUCCUGUUGAGAAUUUGUGAUAGUUGGAUUAUUAUGAAUGGCAUGACAGAUUUGACCAUGAUCCUCGCAGUAUAGCUAGCCCUGACGUUAGUACUAAGAGCUGAACCUGAAAAUAGAAAUGAAGGAAUAUGCAUUAUGUACUGCUAGGAUAAUAAAAUUUCAUGGUUUAAAAUUUCAAAGCAAUCCCUGUUGAAAUCGAAAUAGUUGAAGUAAUUGAAGAGUAUAGUGAAGUACCAUCUAUGAUGUAGCAUCCCCCUAGCAACAUCAGAAGCAUAGCAGUUGAUCCAGUUAGCAAACCGAUCCCAGCUGACACCUUAUCAUUUUCAGCAGUUUCUGUGUUCCCACAUAGCCUGGAUGCUUCAAAAUGCCGACAACAAAGCAUUCCAUCAGUGUGCAUAAAAUAAUCAGAUUACAAGGUGGAUGUUUUGGAAUAUUCUGGAUUUUUUUUUUUUUUUUGACUAAUUUGGAAAUUUAAGUCGAUGGUAUUAAUUAGGUCCGGGAAAUGGCAACUGCUGAAGCAAGAGUGAGAAGGUUCCCGUAAUGGAAAAAUCAACAAAUGGGUUGAGAUAUGGAACCGCAAGUUCUAAAGAAGGGAUAAAUUUCAAGAGACAUAUUGGUUUAAAUCAAUCUUACCAAAGCUGAUAAUAGCAUCAAGAAGCGAGCCGAGCAGAGGUAGAAAAACCCCACCAGAAAUUCUAGGACUAACAACUUCCACCAGAAUUUCACUCCCAUCAUACAAGAGCUUGGCUGCAAACAACAUCAAUGAAACAUACACAAGCAUAAGGAAUAUGUUUCCAGGCACGGUGGUGGUGCAUGGCAUGAAUCCAAUCCUCUGGCUAUAGCUGCUAUCUGAUGAAGGCCAGUGCUCAAAAACAAUAAAAUCUGGUUGCUGAACCUCUCCAACUCCAUCAGAAACGAGCGCAAAGGAAGAAUUAGCUUCAAUAGUAAGUGCACAAUAUCCUGGAUUAACUAGCAUGACAAGAAUCAUUGCUACAAAAAGGAGUUCAUGUUUCGUAGCCAUUCUUUAGCUUGCCUUAGGCCAAUAUGCCCUACUAAUAUAUAUAUAUAUAUAUAUAUAUAUAUAUAUAUACACGUUAACUAGUAUACUGUCCGUAUGAUUCAGGGGUCCACUCCAAGUUUGGCUAAUACCAUUUCAAAUGUUUUAUUUGCAAAUUUUAUGAUUAUUUUAACUCAUGACUUUAUUGUCUUGGUCACGUGUUAAUUGGAACAUUAUGAGAAGGCGCGUGAAGUAGUUAGAAAACAAUGUGGAGUCGUGGACUGUGGACUGGUCAUUUUCUGAAAAUUAUCAUGUCCCCAUGAAUUUUAUUCAAUGCGCGUAAAGUAGGUAGAAAGCAGCGCGAACGGGGACUGGUCACUCUAAAAUCUUAUGCCCAUCAGCCAUGUGAAUUUUAUUUGAUUUUCAAAGCAACGUGAUAUGUUUGCUGCAAAGAGCAUAUGAAUUUUAUUUAUACUAAAAAAUUUCAUUCCAAAGUCAUUCAAUAAGAUGUGGCUUGUCUCCAUAAUGGAGUACCGUAGAAUUAAUUGCUGCAAACGUUACAUUCUUGGCACGUUUCUAAUAAAACAAUUACGUGCCCAAGUUGCAUUAAUUUUCCCAUAAUUCAAGAUAUAUUGUUAGGGGAGAGUUUAAUUAUGUGGAUCCAAUGUGAAGGGAACAACAACUAUCAAGAAAAUUCAGCAAGGAAUGAGACAUCUUGUUGCUAGAUCAUGUUCUUAUGUCAUUGUUUGUGUACUUGGAAGCUAUAAUUCAUUUAUUGGUGUAAUAAUAUAGAGUUGAAGUUUAUCCAUAUGCUGAGGUAGAUUAGGUUGGAAUGUGGUUUGACCCAUAAGACAAAUAUCAAUUAAGUGAACUAGAUUCUAACAAUGAUAAAUACUCUAAUGAUCAAUUUGUUUGAUAAUUGAGUAAAACCCCUAUAAAAUAAUACUUUUAGGAUUAGAGAAAUUAAUAUCUUAGUGAGAUUAUUAAUUUAUAAAUAGUAUUAUGUUUUUAUUAUUCAAUACUUGUACAUAUAUGAUUUAUAAUUUAAAAAACAAUUGAUGUGAUAAAAAAAUUUAAUAAAUAAAAACGUAAAAGACUCUAAAAAAUAAAAAAUAAUUAUUAAUUGUAAAAAAUAGAAAAAAAACUCCUAAAAAUAAGAUAUGUAACAUAAAAAAGUUAUGCCCUAAAAGAUAUAAAGGUUUUUUAAAAGAUAGGAAAGUUUCAAGUAUUUGAUGAUUUCAAGGAGUAAUUUGAAAUAACCCGUAUUGAAACCAGAAGAUUUUAUUAUUUAACUAAAAUUACUAAUUUAUUGAAAACUUAUUUAUCAAAUAGUUGUCCUAUUUUGUGUCUACUUUUUUUAUUAACAUAGUUAUGUAUUGAAGUUUAUAUAUGAUUAUGUGAUUGCUUUUAGAGUAUAUAUAUCAAUUUUUCGAGAUGACAAAUAGAAUUUUUUGAGAUAUUCUUUCUUUUGUAGGGAGAUUGCUUUUAGGAGUAUAUAUAUCAAUUUUUGGAGAUGAUAUUGCCUCACCUUUAAAGGCAAUCUCAUCAAAGAAACUUGCCUCAAUCAUAUAAGCCUCAGCUCACCCAAAUGGAGAAAUGAGGAAAGCUAUGCAUGGUAACAGGCUCACCAUUUUGGAAAGCCUUUGUGAAUUGAUGCAUUCAUGGUGGUAUAACAUUGUGCUAACAUGUUACCAAGCUUUUGCCUCUACCACAUGUAACAAAAAGAUCAAGAAUAAUUUGUCCCUUGGUUAAGUAUCUUCCAUAGGUAAAGCCUACGAUUCAAUAGGCUGAGGAAGUAUCCAAUCAAGAGAUGUCAAUCACUUGGAAAAUUGAGAAGGAUAUGAUGUUGAAAGAGGCAGGCACCAUUGUCAACUAAAGCCUCGAUCAUCUCCACACAAUUGAUUGAAACGAAGAAGGUUUCCAUCCAUCGGUCUAGAUAAGAUCCAAUGGUCCACGACUCUAUAAGAAAGACAUUCCAAAAGGUAACUUGUGACUUUUAUUACAAGAAGAGAGUUGGAAGUCAAUUAUGCUAAUUAUCAAGAGAAGCUUUAGCACCAAAUAAUUAGGCACAUAGUAAGCUUGUGUUAUCUCCACUAUGUUUUGCCACUCGUAAACAUCAUUCUUGCUCUACAUGUGAAGUCGAUCUAUUGUAGAGAGAGUGUGUGAGUUACAAUUGUUGCCAAUCCCUUUGACUUGGCUCAUCUGAGGUUGACCAAAUCUUCCCAGUUAGAGAAAAGACCGGGUUAAGAGACAACGUGAUUUAUUUAAUUAUUAUUUUUUAAAUAAUUUGUUGUAGUCGUUCAACUUUUUAUGAAGAGUCCCCGUUAGACUUCUCUGCCUGUAAAUGCUCCCGCUUCUCAGAGUCCCUCUCAAGAUUUUUUAACUUAAACCUUCUCCCAUAACCUGACUCUUUUCUCUGCACAUAUUCCUGCAACUGCAUCCCACUACAGCACCUAUUCCAGCAGCCCAUUGUUUGUACCUGUUCCUGCAUCCACUAUUGCACCUGCUCCUACUGCCACUGUUGCACCUGUUCAUAUAGCCCGCUGUACCUACAACUGCUACAGCCCAUAGCCUGCAGCUGCUCAUUUGCUGCUUCUAUACUGCAGUAGGUUCAAUUACAUCCUCUGCAACGAGGUCUUUUGUAUCAUUGCACGGGUUGCAGUGAUGGUCUCCAAAAAGCCCGCGGCCCGCUUUAGGCCCGGCCCGGCCCAAGCCCGUUUUAUGGGCGGGUCGGGCCGCGGGCCGGCCCGGCCCUUAGGCCCGCCCCUUUAAAAAAAAACUACAAAAAUAAAAAGUAUUAAAAAAAAUAUUCAUUUCAAAAUUUUAUUCAUUGAAUUUAUAAUUACAUUUAAAAAUGUGGGAAAAGUUUACAUCACUAUAAAAUAAAUACAUCCCAACUAGGUUAACACCUAUUUAUUUGUCAAUCAUCUGUAUUUUUCGACCACAAAAAAUAAAAAUAAAAAUAUAAUAUACAUUUAGUCAUUAUUUUCUGACGGUGAUGGCGAACUAUCAUGCAUCCAUGAAGAUCUUGAUAAUUUUAAAGAUUCCAUAUCGGCAAACAUCUCUGUUUCUCGAAUGAAAUCGUACAUCAUUUUAUCUGCUAUUUCCCAAUCUUUCACACAUAUCCAUGCUUCAAUAACAUCUGACGCUAAGUUGCAUUGUUUUUUACUAACUAAUCUUCUACCUGCACUAAAAGCAGCUUCUGAUGCAACUGUACUCACAGGAACUGUUAGUACAUCACGAGCAAUUAUAGAAAGCACAGGAUAUUUGUGUUGAUGUGAUUUCCACCAUAUUAAAAUAUCAAAAUCUUCUUGAUCUUCAAAUGAAAUUAUUUCAGUAUUAAGAUAUUUAUCUAAAUCAGAUGUAUUAUUUGGAGAACUAUUUGUUGUCUUUUUUCGACUUUUCAACAUUUCUAGAGCUCCUUUAUAAAAAGAUGAGGAGUUUGUAGAUGUAGGUGGUAAUUUAAUACUAUUAAUAUUAUUACCAUAUUUUUCUUUAUAAUAGUUAUAUAAAUUAUGUAAUAAUGAAUUUAUUUCAUUUUUAAUUUCUUCAAUUUUUAUUUGGUCAUUAAAAUAAAUAAUUGUUAACCAUUCAUCCAAAGCUUCAAAUUUCAAUCUUGGGUCCACAAUUAAAGCAAUAUAAAAAAUUAAAGGUAUUUCCCCCCAAUAUUUUCUAAAUUUUUCUAUCAUUGCAAAUAUUGUAUCAUUAAAUAUUUCAAAACUUAAAUAUUUUUGAAGUACAAUAAAAAUAUUAGUUAUUUGCAUAAUAACUCGAUUUGAAGUUGGAUAAUAUACACCACAAAAAAUGUUUGUUGAAGUAUCAAAAAUUUCAAAAAGAUCUCUUAAAAGAUCUGCAAUAUACCAAUCAUAAUCACUUAAUGCAUAAAUAUCUGCUUCACAAUCAUUGUUAAGUAAUUGUAUUUCAUAUAAUUCGACUACUUUUCUAUAUUUUGUAAUAUUUUGUAAAAGUUUAUAUGUGGAAUUCCAUCUAAUGGUCAUAUCCAAAUUUAUAUUUUUUCUUUUCAUAUUUAACAUUUUGCAACAAUCAAAAAAUAAUUCAUGUUUUGCUUGAGAACUAUUAAUACUAUAUGCAAUGCCUCUAAUUUUUUCCAAUGUAUCAUCAACAUUUUUUAAUCCAUCAUUUACAAUUAAAUUUAAAAUAUGUGCACAACAACGCACAUGAAAUAUUUUAGCAUGAUCUUCUUUUACUUGCCAAUAUCGUUUUAGUCUAUGUAUUGCUGUAUCAUUAUUAGCAGCAUUAUCUAAUGUUAUUGUCAAUAUUUUAUCACGAAUGCCUAAAUCUAUAAUUUCAUCAUUUAUUAAAGAUGCUAUAUUUUUACCACUAUGUGGAGCAUUUAUUAAUUUAAAUGAAAUUAUUCUUUUAUUUAAUUUCCAUUCAUUAUCAAUGUAGUGAGCAGUUAUACAUAAAAAACCAGUGUGAGUUAAAGAUGUCCAAAUAUCAGAUGUUAAACAAAUAUUUCCUUCAAAAUUUGCAAAAAAAAAAUUUUUAAAUUUCUUUUUGUGUAUAAAUUUUUUUCAUAAUAUCUCUUUUAACUGUAUUUCCAGACCAACCUUUAAAUUGAGGAUUAAUACCUCGUUGAAUUGUUCCUACAAAAUCAUGAGUUUCCAUCAUGUUGAAAGGUUGUUAUGCUCUUAUUAUAUAAUCAAUCAUUUCUUCACGACAGUUAGAUUCAUCAUAAGAAAAUGUUUUUAAAUUUCCACUUUCAUUUUUACUUAAUUGCAUAUAAUUUCUAAUAUCUACAUUAUUUUUAGUUUUACAAUUUUCGUGAUGUCUUUUUAAAUGACUUGUGCCUGCAUUUGAGCCACCAGUAAGAAAUUUAUUACAAAUUUUACAUUUUGCUUUUAUUUCUUUUUUAUUAUUUUCUAAAAUUAUUUCUAUUCUAUCAAAAAAAUUCCAUAUAUUUGAAGUAAAUUUUUUGUUUGAUGAUAUUUCAUCACAUGGACUAGAUGAAGAAGCACUUGUUAUAUUAUAAUUAUUGAUAAAAUAUUAUGCCAAAAAUAAUAAAGGAAUAAAUAUAACAAAAAAAUAAAGUAGUAGGGGUGAAGUAUGUUACUCAAUUAGAGAACCGAUGCAGAAAUUCCUAGCAAAUUUGAACUCUUGGAGCCACCAAUGCUUGUUUUGCACCACCAACAAUAUUGUAUAAUUUGAGGGAAAAAUAAAAGAAUUUGAAAUAUUGUAGAAUGUGAGAGAAAUAGAGAGAAUUUGAUGAAAAAAUGAAAAGGAAGAACAUGUAUUUAUAGGAAGAUUUAAAAAAAAAAAAAAAAAUUGGCCAUGUGACCGUUGGAGGCUUAGCCCCAACGGUCACAUGACUCACAUGGGCUCACAUGGGCAGCUGGCUGGAGCUCCAACGGUCACAUGACCGUUGGAGCCUUUAAUUUUUUUUUAAAAAAUAAUAUACUUUAUUUUUAUAUAUAUAUAAUUAACUCAAUUAUUAAGCACAAAAGGAAUGUAGCUCAGUUGGUUAGAGCCUUGAUAUGAAAGCAUGAGGGGAGGGGUUCGAAUCCCCCCCUCUCCCUUCCUUUCUUUAAAAGCCAUUUUGGCUUAUUUAAAAAAGCCCACGGCCCGGCCCGCCAGCCCGCUAGCCCGCGGGCUCAUAGGCCGGGCCGCGGGCCUAACAUUUUUCCAUGGCCCGGCCCAGCCCGGCCCGUUGACCAGUCAACGGGCCCAUAGGCCCGACCCGAGCUGGGCCGCGGGCCUCCUAUUUACGGCCCGGUCCUGCCCGUUGGAGACCCUUAGGUUGCAGUCAUACCAAACCGAACCGAGUGCUGCACAUAUUUCUAGCUACCUGCAGUUAUCUUAUAUUGUCUUGCAUCCUUGCUCUUACCGUAUACAAGUUUGCAACCCUUUUAUGUUGUACACUUUCUUUUGGAGAAAUUACAAUUAUAUAAUUAUGAAUUGUACCGUGUCUCAUCAAAGAAAUGAAUCUAAGAUGAGGUCAUUGAUUGUUGUAUCUUGGAAAUAGAAAGUUGAUUACUAGUUCAUCUUUGAAGAGGAUGAACUUAUUUUAAGGACAAUGUCUCGUCACAACUCAGUCUUUUAAACCAAUAAGUAUUCCUUUCCUUUUUAUUCUGUUUCUUGUUUAUUCAAUUUUAGGCUAGGUCGAAAUUCCUUCAAUUUUUUUAGAUUUCUAAAUUCGACAAUCUUAAAGUAGGUUUUUGUUGAGGCCUCGCAUCCUUGGUGAUCCACGUAGAUGCCAAAUGGAUGGACGCACGAUCUCAACCAAUAUAGAUUCUUGAUUCAAUCGUACUACCUGCAAAAGGUGUCCGGACAAGGUGUCCGGACGCACCCUCCGAUGGUUUUGUCAGCCAUGGUUAAAGAGAUAGAGAUAAAUCAGUUGGCCUUUUACCAGGUAUAGCAAACUUACCUUCCUCUUUGUGUGAAGGUUCAUAUAUAUAGUAUUAGAAGCUUUGUUUCCCUUUUUAAUGGUAGGGAGAUAUUUUGUGUUGUCAUGAUGACACUAGGUGGUGGCAGGGCCAUCAUCACCCUACGGGCGGCUGUCAGAGAUCGUGGUAGUUGUUGCGACUGUCAAAAAUCGUGGGAAGUGAUCAUAGGAAGUGACUUGCCAUCACUUCAUUCUUGUCCUUUCACCCUGCAAGUGGCGGAACGUGGGCCAUGGCAGGUUGUUGUGAUAACGUAUAAGACUUGUUUACUUCAGUCAAUGAUCCGGACAAACAUACCCGGAUAGUGUAUGUCGGUCGUCCGGAUGCGCUGUGGCAGUCGUCCGGAUGUUAUGUUUAUGAGUGUCGUGUGCCUCUCUUUGAGGGAGUCCGGAUAGAAGAAGCGCGCCACGUGUACUCUUGGGGAAAUCUGGAUGAGGCUGAUCCAGAUGAGAAUGCGUGCCACGUGGCAUUAGGAGAUGUGUGCCACGUGUGGGGAGGGGUCCCUACAGUUUUUAAACGAAGGCUUCCCUAGUUCACACAUAUUAUAAUACCUUUAAAAUCGAUUCCUUCAAUGGGAUAUUUUUCAAGAGAUGGUAGAAAAUAGUAUUUUCUGCUAUAGAUGUAGUGAACUUAUGACACAUCUUGACAGACCUAAAAAUAAUAAGUCCAGAAAACAAAAACUCUAAGACUAAACUCAACAUAGCAAACAUGCAACUCAAUGCCACCACAAGAAGAGAAUUGAGAAGUCCAACCCUUAAGCUUUUUCUUGUUUUUCAAAAACAUAAAUAAUCCUUGAAAUCUAAGAUGAAUGGAAUUAUUUUUUGCCCUUAUGAGCCUCUUGGCAUGCUCAUUAGACUAGUUUUUAGGCCUAUAUAUCUUGUUUGCUAAUUGUUGACUACUUGCUAUCUUGUUUUUUAGUCUCAAAAUAUUGUUGUAAAUCAAGACCCUUUGGCAUGUUUUAAAUUGUUUUUUAAACUUAAAAAUAUAUUUUAGACACCUUGAAUGAGAUGAAGACUUCUUUCCUUGCUAGAAAUCUCAUUCCCAGACUAGUUGAAUAAUCCAAUUUUUUUAGGUGUUAGGUCGUUGUUUUAUUUUUGCAUACUAAAAUGUUUUUGCGAAUUGAUCCCAAUUAUUUUAUUAUCAAUUAUUUUUUAGGUUUGAACUUUGAUUUAGACGUCUUAAAUAAACUUAGGAGAUUUGGUCUUGUUAAAAAAUUCAUGUUUAUGCUUGUCGAAUAAAUAAUAUUUUGUAUAUUUGUAUGUUUUCUUGUUUUGUUUGGUCAUUAAAUGUUUCUUGAAAUUUGUAUCAUUUGGUUUAUAGUUGGGCUCCUUUGACUGUGAGAUGUGGUUUAGACAUCUUGAACUUGUUAGGAAAUUUUUUCCUUGAUUUUUUACCUUACCUCUAGCCUUGUUAAAUUAAUCCAUCUUUCACACACUAACAUGUUGUCCUAUUUUGCACAUCUUUUCUAUUUUGUUGAACUGGUCUCAUAUAGCCUUAUUUGAUUCUUGAUUUGUGUAGUGUAGAUCCUGUGCAUUAUAAAUAAGCUUUCUCCUAUAGCAUGACCACUCUUUAACUCUUGGAAAUGAAUUUUUUUGUAAGUGUAUAAAUGUAGUCCUAUUUGUUGUAUCGUGAUAUGUUUGUAUGAAUUAAUCUCAAUUGAUGUUAACUUAGUCAUUUUUGUUCUUUAAUUAGAGUUGUAGAUAUCAUGUACAUGUUGGAUAAUCAUUGUUUUGAUGAUAGAUCUUUUCUUAUAUUUGUAAAUUAACUUUUUCUUUCUUAUGUAAGAUUGUUGCCCUUGUUUUGGGCAUUUGAGAGGUAUGUUCCAUUAUUCCUUUGAUUGUUUAAUUCCUUUACUAACCAUGUCAUGCUCUCGAGAGAUCCUUGUUUGUUUGUCUUUGGUCCUAUGAUCUUCUAGUGUGCAUAACUCAUAUAUUCAUCAUCAUUUUCCUGUUCCUUAUCACCAUGUCUUGUACAUUUAUGUUUUUGUUUUUUGAUAUUCAUGAUCUACUAGUUAAUUAACAUAGUUUUAACUUUGUUAAAGGUUAAAGAGAUGAUACUCUAAAGUAUUUUCCCAAUUAGUAAAAAUACUUAAAUCAGGUGCUACUCUCAUACCUAAAUCAUGUUUUUGGCAAUAAUGUUUUUCUUAAAAAAGAGUUAUUUUAAGAUUUUAUUUUUUCAUUAAAAAUAAGUAAAAUAAGUGAUGAUUCUAACUUUUUAAAAGUUAGUUUUUCGUAAUAAAAGGUGAAUCUUAUAGUUGAGUGGAAACACACAUAAAAAAUACGGGUUCACCCCAUGAAACUUGCAAUAUAGCUAGCCUACACGUUAGUACUAAGAACUGAACCUGAAAAUAGAAAUAAAGGAAUAUGCACUAUGUGCUACGAAAACAAAAUUUGGUAGUUUACAAUUUCGAAGCAACCCCUGUUGAGAUCGAAAUAGUUGAAGUAAUUGAAGAGUAGAGCGAGGUACCAACUAAGAUGAAUCCUCUGGCAUCCUUCUUCGAUGCUUUAUCCCUUGAAUAUUCAAGGUCAUACUUGCCAACUAUGAUGAAGGAUCCCCUAGUAACAUCAGAAGCAUAGCAGUUGAUCCAGUUAGCAAGCCGAUCCCAGCUGACACCUUAUCAUUUUCAGCAGUUUCUGUGUUCCUACAUAGUCUGGAUGCUUCAAAAUGCCAACAAUAAAACAUUCUAUCAGUGUGUAAAAAAUAAUUAGAUUGUAUUGGUGGAUGUUUUGGGAUAUUACCGAUUUUUCUUUUUAUUUUUUGACUAAUUGGGAACUUUAAGUCAAUGGUAUUCGGUCUGGAAAAUGGCUACUGCUGAAGCAAGAGAGAGAAGAUGUAUAUAUAUAUAGAUAUAUAUAGAUAUAGAUAUAGAUAUUUGAAAUCAACAAAUGGCAUGGGUUGAGAAAUGGAACCAUACAUUCUAAAGAAGUGAUAAAUUUGAAGAGAGAGAUUGGUUUAAAUCAAUCUUACCAAAGCUGAUAAUAGCAUGAAGAAGCGAGCCGAGCAGAGGUAGAAAAACCCCACCAGAAAUUCUAGGACUAGCAACUUCCACCAGAAUUUCACUCCCAUCAUACCAGAGCUUGGCUGCAAACAACAUCAAUGAAACAUACACAGAUAAGGAACAUGUUUCCAGGCACAGUGGUGGUGCAUGGCAUGAAUCCAAUCGUCUGGCUAUAGCUAUCUGAUGAAGGCCAGUGCUCAAAAACAAUAAAAUCUGAUUGCUGAUGAACAUCUUCAACUCCAUCAGAGACCAGCCCAGAGGAAGAGUUAGCCAAAAUAAUAUUAAAAUGGUUUAUCUGCAAACUUUAUGAUCAAUCAUUUAACUCAAGACUUUUCUGUCUUGGUCACGUGUUAAUUGGAGCAUUAUUAGUAGGCGUGUGAAGUAGUUAGAAAACAAUGUGGACUGUGGACUGGUCAUUUUCUGAAAAUUGUCAUGUCCCCAUGAAUUUUAGUCAAUGCGCGUAAGGUAGGUAGAAAGCAACGCGAAUCGGGACUGGUCCCUCUAAAUUCUUAUGCCCAUCAGCCAUGUGAAUUUUAUUUUCUUUUCAAAGCAACGUGAUAUGUUUGCUGCAAAUGGCACAUGAAUCUCAUUCAUGCUAAAAGAUUUCAUUCCAAAAUCAUUCAAUACGAUGUGGCUUGUCUUCAUAAUGGAGUACCAUAGAAUUCAUUGCUGCAAAUGUUACAUUCUUGGCACGUUUCUUAAACAAUUACGCACACAGAUUGCAUUUUCCCAAUUCAAGAUGUAGUGUUAGGAGAGAGGUCAAUUAUGUGGAUCCAAUGUGAAGGGGAACAACUACCAAGAAAACCCAGCAAGGAAUGAGACAUCUUGUUGCUAGAUCAUGCACGUUCUUUUGUCAUUUUUUGUGUACUUGAAAGCUAUAAGUCAUUCAUUGGUGUGGUUAUAUAAAGAUAAAGUUUAUCCAUACAUAAGAGGUAUAUCAUCAUGUUUUAAUGUGGCUUGAAUUAUAAGACGAAUAUCCGUUGAAAGAACAGAUAUUAUCAAUUUAUUGGAGUAAUAAGGUUGAAAGAGAAAAUAACACAUGCAAUUAUAAAGGAAGAUAAAAUUAAGAAGAAUUAAAAUUUUAAUAUAUUCCAUUAUUCUUUCUUAUUCCAAUAUUAUAUAAUCUUUUAUUUAUAGAUAUUCAUACUUAACUAAAUGGAAAUUCCUAUUAAUAUAAUAAUUAUAAUAUUUUCAAGGUUUUCAAAUCAAAUUUAAUUUUUCCACAUAUAUUUUUUUAUUAUCAAAGAUAUCAAAUUAGGAAGAAAGAACGAAGGUAAAAUAUGGCACAACAUGGCAUGGACAGGAGAUGGCCACCCAUGGAUCAAAAUAAGCCAAAAAAUGGAGAAUAACUGUAACGACCUUCUCCCAACGGUGUAGAUAUUGUCCGCUUUGAACCCAAAGGAACCCUUACGACUUUAAAACGCAUCUAUAGGGUUAAGAGAAGUUCAUACUUAUAUAGCGUAAAAAAAUUUCUCCCCUAUCCGAUGUGGGAUGUCACAAACACCCCUCAUGUAAACACAACAUCCUUAUUGUAUCCCACGGGAUUAUGGGGCCAAACAAACAAACACCCUUAUGGGGCCAAACAGACAAACACCCUUAUGAGACCAAACAAACCCUACACUAAGAUCGGGGAUCGACUCUGAUACCAUUUGUAAUAACCCGCUUCCAACGUUGUAUAUAUUGUUUGCUUUGGACCCAAAGGGGCCCUCACGGCUUUAAAAGGCGUUUACAGAGUUAAAAGAAGUUCAUACUUAUAUAGCAUCAAGAACUUUCCCCCUAUCCGAUGUGGGAUGUCACAAUAACACCCAACCCCAAUGGUAUAAUUAGAUCCAUAUUGAAAUAUAUAAGUCAACAAGUUGGCUCCCCAGCUUGUGUCGGCACACCCACAUAAUUCAUGAACUAGAUCAAAAUCAAUAGUCUUUUGUUAUUCCAUAGUUUAAAUGGAUAAGGUACAAGAAAUUAAUUUCUCCAUGCAAGUAAAUUUCUCUUGUUGCUUUCUUUAAAGUAGAAUUAUUCCUAAAAACCAUGGUUUUAAAAACCACACCGAACCAACUGGUUCGACCGUCGGCUGGUCACGGUUUCGGUUUCCAAAUAGCCCUGCCUUCCAUUUUUGUUUUUUAAAAUUUAAUUUUGAUGUUUUAUAUUUAAUUUCUUAAUUUUUAAUUGAUUAUAAUUGUAGUGAUAUGUUUAAUAUUUAAUUUUUUUUAUUUUUUAUUUAUUACACAUUGAAAUUUUAAUUUAUUGAAAUGAUUGAAAAAAUUGGAUUGAUUAACAUCUACAACUAAAAAAUUUUAUGAAAAAACUCAAUAAACAUAAUAGAUACUAUCAAAAUUUAGAUAGAAUUUAUUAUUUUUAUUUAUUAAUUUUUUAAAAUUUAAUAUUAUAUAAAAUAUAUAUAUAUGACAUCACCGGUUCGACCGCCGGUCCGACCAAUGAACCAUGAACUAAUAACUUUUCUAGUUUGAUGAUUGGUUCGGUUAUGAAAACAUUGCUAAAAACCAUACAUUGACCUCUAACAUGUAUCACAUAGUCAAGCUCAUUCGUUUUUUCUUUCUACUGAAUGAAAUUAUUAGCCAAAAUUAUAUUUUAGGGACAAAGAAACUCAUUUUCGGUUAUUUGACCUAGAUUUGAUCUUAAAUGAACAAUGAAAAAAUACUAUUCAAGCAAUGGUACAAAUUGAGAUAAGAUAUAUGUGUGUGUCCAUAUAGGAAAAAAAGACCAUGCAUCAUUGACACCUUGCAUAAUAGUUAAAGCUUAACAAAGUCUAGCAUAUGAAGGAGUAAUAUAUGAAGAACUCUAAGGGUCUAUUUGAUAACUAUUUUUAAAUAAAAUUUUGAAAAAUAAUUUUUUAAAAUUGUUCUCUAACUUUUAGAGAACAAAUGUUUAUUUGAAAAUUUAAAAUAUUUUAACCAUUUUUUAAUAUUUUUUAAUAUAUUUUAGAAAUAUUUUUUAUAUCUAGUAUUUUAUUUUUAAGUAUUCUUUGUAUAAUUAUUUUUUAAAACAACCCUAAAAAACCAAGUGAAAACAAUAUAAAACAACUAAAAGAUGUCACCCUAUUUUUUGUUCUUAAGAUUAGAAAAUAGAAAAUAGUUUUUAGUUGUCCAAUGUGCUUUUUGUGUUUUUUGCUAUGAAGAACAAAAAACUAUUCUAAAAAAAAAAAAAAAUCAAAUAAGCCCUAAGGCAUGCGUUUUUAUUUUAUCAUGAGAAUAGUUUGUGCAAAUCCCAAAUUAGAGGGAAAAAAAUUAUGAGAUUCACAAUCUUACUUCCACUUUUUUUAUCUUUUUUUUUUUUUUUUUCUUUUUUCUCUUUUGACAUUUUCUCGCAAUCAAACUAGAUUAAAACCAAAAAAGUGGUGUUAGGUAUGCGGAAAUUCUGAUACUAAUUUGUUGGAGUAAUAGAGUUAAAAGGGAGACACAAUUAUAAAAUGAGAUAAAAUUUGGGAGAAUUAAAUUAUACUUCACCACUCUCUCCUAUUCAAAUAUCAUAUAAUCUCUUAUUUAUAGAUACUUACAUUUAACAAAAUAGAAAUUUUCUAAUUUGACAACUCAAAAAUAAAAACUGAAAUAAUGAGCCAAAAUAAAACAUUUCUCCCUUGACUUUUAGAGACUAAAUUUAAUUAUAAUAUUUUUAAAAUUUUUGGAUCAAGUUUAAAUUUCCAACUUGUCUCCUAAACUUGAUCCGUGACUUCAAGUAGUAUCAUCAACCUUCUAAAAUCUCCAAAAUUGUAAAGGUUGGUAAAAAUAUCAGCAAUUUAAUCUUGAGAUUUUGAAAAUUUUAAUUGCACUUCCUUCUUCAAAUGUGUUCUCUAAUCAAAAGAAGAUGGACGAAUAAUUUGAUUUUCACAAUAUUUUUUAAAUUCUUUUGAUGUGAAUUCACCUUUUUCUAUCGAUCUCAUUGCCUUUAUAUCAUGGACACUUACCUUUUAAAUAAGUCCUUUAAAUUUCUUGAAAACACUAAAUACUCAUAUUUUUCCUUCAAAAAAUGCACCCAAAUUUUUCUACUAAAAUCAUCAAGUAAAAAAUAUUUAUUCUUGCUAAAUAUUUAUUUUUUAAUCACACAAACAUCAUUUAAACUCUCACUAAUUCUUUUUAAUAAAAUUCAUAAUAGUCAAUACUCUAGAAAAAUAAUCAAAAGACUGAUUCCAAUUCUUUCAUAUUCAAAUUUUCAAAUUCUCUUUCAAGAGUUUGAAGACGAACUUUUCUUACCUUAUCAAUUCCCUUUUGUGUAUUUUGUAAUAUAUCUCAUACUUCCAUGGAGGUGGUUGCAUUUGAAAUAUUCUCAAAAGUACCUUCAUCCAUUAGAUGAUGGUGAGAACUUUCUUGUUUCGCUACCUCAUAUCUUUCAAAAAAUCCCUUUGAUUUAGGGUCAAAGUGAUUUCAUGUUGGCUCCUUCUAGCCUUUCUUAAACAUAUAAUAAGGAUAAAAAUACUACUUUAAAUUAAAAAUCAAGUUCAAAGGAGGCAAGUUCGGAAGUAAAAUUGAUGUUAGAAAGUUUCCAAAUUUUAGAUUUGAUUUGAUAUGAUUAAAUAUGAAUAUGGGGUUUGUGUAAUAGUUGAACAAGACAAAUAGAAGACAAUAAAAUUUCAUUAAUUUUUCUCAAUUUGUUAUUUAUCUUUAUGAAAUUAUGUAAUUGUUCUUGUGUUUUCAGCCCUCUUACUCCAACAAGAUCACCAGGGGUGCCCUGUACGGGUUGAAGGUGUUCAGAUAAGGAAGUGAAGAUGGAUGUGAAGAAUGAGUUUAUCUUAUUCAAACCAGAGGACAUGGGCCAGGUUAGUUGUAGAUUUACCAUCCUGGUCACUAAACUGAUCAGGAAGACAUGAAUGAGUUCCAUUGAGAAUACCCAGCAGAUCAUAACCAACUAGCAAGCAAUCAAAUUGAGGUUUGUAAGAUGGGUAGUUGGAAGAAGUUGCAGGAAGCAACAAGAUGGAAUUGGGAGCUAGCCAGACUUUCUUCGGACAUGGUGAAUGAAAGGGAAAAAGGAAGAUGCAAGCCUGUUGGAGCUGUACAAAUCUCAUACCAUAAGAAGAAAUAAGCAAAGAGAUUUUGUGUAUUGUAUUAUGAAUUCACUAACUUGCUUUAUCCAAUACAUACAAAAUGGUGGAAAAACAUUUACAGAAAUAAUUACAAGUCAACCUAAAAUCUAAAAGAAUGAUUCAUAACAUACAACUGUAUUACAAUUGAUCAUCACCCUCCUCGAGAAUGACUAGUAUCAAGGUGGUCAUGAUUGAGCUUUGUUUUAGUAAUUUGCUUCUUGGCUUAUAACAACUACUGAAUAAAUCUGAAAAUUCGUAAAUUGCUCCUAAAGCGCUCAAUGGUCUUAAAAAAAAAUUGAGAAUCUAACAUGGACCAUGGUCAUCCAUAUUCUUUUGGAAGAAAGCUCCAAAUAAUGAGGACAAUCAGUACUUCAGAUGUGAAGUUCCAUGUCAACUGGCGAAAAUAAACUAGGCCCAAGAAGACUGACAUGCAAAGGAAGUUGUUCAUGCUCAUUGCCCCAUAAAUCUGCAGCAAACAAUUCAUAUACAGUUAUGAAUUAGAACAUCAUGACAGGAACCCAAAAUUCACUAAGUUAAGAUAGAUAACUAACAUCAACCCAAGCAAACCUUUGAAAAUGUUAAAGAAGCAAUUCUCAACUUCUUUUGGCUGGCAAAGUUUUGGGCUGACACUGCCUCACUGAAGCUAGCGAAAGGCAGAACAAGAAAUGAGACAAAGAAAGAAGGAAUGUUAGUAGCAGUGGAGAACUUGCCUACAGCAUUGACAAGAGGACCAGCAAAUGUAGCAGCUAUCAGAGAUCCCAAAAGCAACAUCACUACUGCUUUACAGGCACUCCAUUUGGGGCUUUCAAUCUUCACAACCUCAUCACUCUGAAUACCCAGCUGUUCAUGCUCUUUGUUUGACACCUGCUUAUGCAUUUUAAAGAUGUCAUCACACCAACAUCGAGAACAUAAUUAAUCAUGACUGAACCUAGAAUAACAUGGCAUUGACAUACCAAAUUGAAGUGGUCUACAACUAGUCUUGUCUUCAUAUGAUUGUAACUGGAACAAACUGCAGAAUUCUUAGCCUUAUUAAGCCAUUUUGAGAUUCCUUUGGUAAAUGCCUCUAUAUUAAUCUUAGCAUCCCCACAAGCAUGGACAUCUCUCAUAAUAUCUCCAACAGUAUCAUCAAUAUCUGAAUCUUUGUCUUUAAUCUGGAUUCCUGUUAUCAGUGCUCUUAUCUCACUAGUCGAGAGCAACUGAUCUGAAUUCCCAUCAAUCAUCUUAAAUAGCCUGUCAUUGUAUCCAUGAAAAAGUGCAUGCAUUGAGAAUCAGGCCUGGUCUCAUAAGUUAGUAAGAAUUUUGUCAACUAUUUUACCAUUGGUGUUGCCUCAUGACGUUGAUUUUUUAUAAUCUAACUUGGAAUAGCCUACAACUAAUAAGGGAAAGAAGUUGAAACUAAAACAAAGACUAACAUUCUGAUCACUUCCAUAUCAGGUUCACCAUUAGUUGUCAAAAGCCUCUCCAAUGGACUGUAUUUCAAUUGUUUUACAAUUCUUGAUGUCAUAUGCAUCUGCUUUGCAUAUGCAAGCUUUCUUCUCAGAAUCGAAGGGUGAAAGACCUGCAACGACAUUUGAUUGGAAAAUCAUGAAGAAGAAGCUAGCAUAAAAAAGAGUUAUGAAAAUAAAAUUAUUUUAACAAUUAGUAACGUCUGAGUACUGAGUGGACAAAUACCUGAUGAAGGCAAUAUGCAAGCAAUAAAGAAACAGAGAUAAUGAGUGAAAUAAAGAUCGCGAAGCAAAUUUGUGAAGAUGUGUGGAGAACUUGUGCUAGUUGGACUAUUAUGAAUGGCAUAACAGAUAUAACCAUGAUCCUAGCAGUAUAGCUAGCCCUGAUAUCAGUACUGAUAGCUGAACCUGAAAAUAUCGAUAAAGGAACAUGCAUAAUGUGUCAGGAUAACAAUCAGACUGAACAACAUUUUUCUUGUAAAAUGUUAGCUAGAAUCAAUGGUUCACUUUAUGUACAUUGAUAAGUGAAUAGCUAAAUUGUUUUACUCACUGCACAACAAACUUCAUAUGAAUUAUUUAAUUUGGAUAAUGAAGAAAAAGAACAGUUGAAUUCAUUGUCAACAAUUAGAAUCAAUCUGUGUUUAAAAGUUGCUACUUGGAAUAGUCUUUCAUGAAUUCUUGACACAAGCAGAGACUUUAUAACUGAAGAGUAUAGGGAAGUACCAGCUAAGCUGAAUCCUCUGGCAGUUUCCUCUGAAGCUUUUUCCCUUGAGUUUUCAGGGUCACAUUUAUCAACUAUGAUGCAGCAUCCUCCUAGCAAUGUUAGCAGGAUGGCAGUUGAUCCAGUUAGCAAACCGAGCCCAGCGGACACCUGAUUUUGAGCAGUUUCUCCGUUUCCACAUAGUCUGGAUGCUUCACAAAUGCAAAUAACAAAAUAUUCCGUGAGCGUGUAGAAAAAUUAGAUUGCCUGCAGGUAGGCAGUGGAUCUAUACAAGAACACACUAUCAAGUCAAUCACAGUAGAACAUAAAAAUGUGACACUUAAAUACUAGGAAGCCACAGACUAAUAAAGGCUCAUAAUUGGCAUCAGCAACUAUGAAUCAGCUGCAAUUGCCCAUCCAAUGGCUCACUAAACUCAAGAGACCCAUUUGCCACUGAGUAGGAACUCCUGAACUAGUUACAUAAAUUCUCUCUCUAUUUGUGGGUUUCCAAGUAAUCAAUCUUGUGGAUUUUGUCUUCUGCAUCCAAUUGGGUUCUGUACUCACUCGUUUCAGUCACUCCUUUGCCCUGUCCAAUCCUCAUUUUGGUCAUUCUUGGCAAUGGCAAUGCCAUAAACUCUUCCAGGUUUCCUUAUUUCCCACUAGGAUAUGCUUCUCCUUAGAAGUCCUCAAUCGAGCAUUUCAUCAAGUAGUCUAAAUAAGUUUCAGUUUCUGUACUAUGUUUCUUUUAGUACUUCUCUGCAGUUCCAACUGAGGGGAUGGCACAAUUAGCAUUCCUCAAUUCUUUUCUUUCCCUUUCCUUUAUCCUUACUUUUUUUUUUCUAAGUUGAUUCUAUUGUCCAAAAUGAUAGAAUAAAUGUGGACCGACAGUUUAUUAAACAUUGUCCAGGAUUAAGCUAUCUUUUAACAUGCAAUUUCUGAUUUAAUCUUGAGUAUGGGCCACCUAAUGUGUAGAACCCAAUGUCAUCACGGGCUUUAGAUGAUGGGCCUAAGGCCCGUGAGGCUCAAUAACCAAUGGGUAUGGUCCCUAAGGCAGGAGGGUAUGGUCCCUAAGGCAGGAGGGUAUAAAAGGCUUAGGCUUGUGUCUUUUGGGAUAAUCACAUCCUUCUGAAAGAACAGAACCGCUCUCUCUCCCGCUCCCAUUGCCUGAGAGAAUCUAGAGAAAGGUGGUGCCCUCCAUCAGCCUUAGAAGAUCGAUACCUCUUCAUCAAAAGCGUCAAAAUGGAUUCAUUCAGGUUGGUUCCUAUCUAAAGAUUGAUUGUUGAAUAUAUUCUGUAUGUGUGUUUUGGUGUCAAUGGAGAAGACAUGAAGUUACAACACAAAACACUAUGUAAUCUACCACAUUUGAUUAAUGCGUCUGUGUGCUGGCACUUAAUAAAGCAUAUCCAACACAAUCAUUGAGUAGGAAAAAGCAAAGGAAAGUUUUGUUGCAGUUUUCACACUAGGCCCAAAGGAAAAGGACACCAACUCAAAACUCAAGCUUCCCACUCAUUGAUUAUCGGAAUGGCAAAGUAAGGGAUAUGAACCUUACACCACAAGUCUCUUUGAUAUUCACAAAAUAUAUACAUAUGCAACAAUUUGAUCUUCUGACAUCUAGGAAACUUAUGCCAACUGUAUGGUGGACGUUUACAGAAUAUUCUGCAUUUUUUUUUCCUCACUGAUUGGGAACUCAAGUCAAUGACAUUAGGUUCAGAAAAGCAGGAACUGCUAAAGCAAGUGGGAGAAAAAACUAUAUAUUAAAAUGUUGAAACUAUAGUACACAGAAAAUGUGCCUGAAAUGAAUGAAUAGUAUCUCGGGAACUUCAGAUUCAGAAAGUUAUGACUCUUUAUCGUUGAGGCUGAAUGAGAGUGAACCAUAAAUCCUAAAAAUAUGAUGAGUUUCAAGCUUACCAAUGUUGAUAAUAGCAUCAAGAAGCGAGCUGAGCAGAGGCAGAAAAACAGCACCAGCAAUUCCAGGACUAAGAAGUUCCACCAGAAUCUCACUUCCAUCAUAUAAAAGCUUGGCUGCAAACAACAUCAAGGAAACGUAUACAAGGAUAAGGAGUAUGUUUCCAGGCACAGUGGCGGUGCAUGGCAUGAACCCAUAUGUCUGGUUACAGCUAUAUGACGAAGCCCACUCCUCAAAAACAAUAAAAGCUGGCUGCUGAACCUCUCCAUCCCCAUCAGAGACCAGCCCAGAGGAGGAAGAGUUAUUGGCUGCAACACGUCCACAACUUCGGGGGCUUACCAUCAUGAGAAGAAGCAUGGCUAGAAGAAAGAGUUCAUGUUUCUUUGCCAUGCCCGGGCUUGGCCUCAUGAUGAGAGGCUAAUGUGUCCUAUAUAUAUUACUACUCUUGUCAUUAUUGCCUUAGAUUGCUCAUCUUUGACGCUGAAAAGUUGUCUCAGGUGGUUGCAGCUUACCCACUUAAUUGAUUAAAUUAUUGGUGCGUGUACAACUCAUUUGCUUUUUCUCCGUGAAUACAAAUCCAAUGGCGGAUCCUACUGCAUUAUGAAAUUUUAUUUUUUAAUAUUUUCCCAAUGAUACCAUUAAUGUACACUUUUAAUUGUCAUUGUUUUGUACUUAAGUAUAUAGUAUUUUAAUAUAUGUUAAUUAAACCACAUAAAUACGAGUAAAAAAUAAAUAAGAAAAAAAGACAAGAUUUUUAAUAUGGUUCAACGAUUAAUGUGAUCAAUAUGUGCAUAGAAUGCAUCAAUACUCAAAAAUCCACCGGUAAAAAAGAUUGAGUAGAGUUACAAUGGUAUAACUCUCGAAAAACAUCUCUUAAUUGUGAUUGCACACUCUAAAAACAAAACCCUAACAUAAAAGGGUAAAAUAUAUAAUAGAAACAAACUCGUCAAUCAUUAAUUAAAAAAAAAAAAAAAAAACCUUUAAGGGGCUUUGUUUAACCCUCAUAAACUGACUAGAUAGUUUGACCCCGACAAACUCAACGGAGAGCUUAACCCUCACAAGCUGAUCAGACAACUUGAUCCUCGACAUUUUUAGUGAAGUGCAACAAAAUCGAUUCAGGUUUCACAAUCCAAUAAUAAAUUUAUAUUUUUUCAAUGAUCCAUAUUUUAUCCUGUAUUUUAGAUAUUAAUUCGAUAUAUUUUAAUAUUUUUUGUCUAAUGGUAUAGUUGUGAUUUCCUUUUUUCCAAAAAAAAAAAAAAAAGAACUGUUGAUUCUAGCUUGCACCUAGUUGGAAGCAAUGCAAAAUAACAGUUCAUCCCAUUCAAUAUUAUUGCUAAUAUAAUAAUGUUACAACCAUGUGGUUUCUAACAACUUAGUAAAUAUUAUAGUAUGAGUUGGACUCGUACUUCUAAAGUGAUCGAUUUGACGACCUAGAAAUUCACGUUUGGUUAUCUUCAUAUUCAAAUUUGUCCAUGACACCAUGAUUUUAGCUGAUACGUUAUCUUACCUUCAAAAUAUAUAUAUUUUUUCGUUUUCCAAAUCAUCUUCUCAAGGAACGAAGCUUAUGGUCAAUAUAGUGCACCAAACAACAUAAAUCUUUAGGUUUAUGGGGGUAAGUGGUUCUUAUCACCAACAUUUUGAGUAAUUUAAAGUAAUAAUGAAAAAUAAGUGAAGAAUAUUUGAAUGAUGUAGCAAAAUUUUUGUUAAAUAUAUCUAUUUUUUUUAACUAAAAUUGUAAAUUAUUUAAUUAAAAUUAUAAAAUUUAUAAAAUAAGUUUACGUAUAUAACAAGAUUUUUUUUUAUCAAAUAACCUUAAUAAUGUUUUUUUUUAUAAAACAUUAAUAUUACAUAAUAACGAGAAUAGACAAAAAAAAAAAAAAAAUCAAAAUAAGAAUACAUAAAUUUAUUUAAAAAAAUCCGAAAAAAAUCAUAAGUAGAGAAAAAUAAAAUUUACUAUAUCAAAAGAUUAAUACAAUGGAGGAGAGUUGUAAGACCUAUUGACCGAUCCAUCCACUAUCACUUUAGACCUCUCAAAAAAUCUCAUAAUUAUAGUUUAAUCACAUAUUUCACAUCACAAGUUUUUUGAAUCAAAUUACAUAAAAUUUAGGUCAUCAAAAACUAACAAUUAAUAUAUAUAUAUAUAUAUAUAUGUUUUUUGAUGUUUUUUACACAAAUAAAUGUAAAAUAUUAAAUAAUAAUACGACUUUUGUCGUAAAAAUUUAAAUACAACCGAUAAAGGGACAUGUGAAGAGCUUUUUUUUUUUUUUUUUUUUGUUUAUUAAGAUGUGAAUAGAAGAAUUGAGUGUAGCACGUGCUGAAAUUAAAUGAACCGUCCCCGGGUAGCGUUGCUCGAGAUGGGUUUUUGUUUUUCAAUCUUUCAGUUGACCAGACCACCUCCGUGACUUGGGAGGAGACACAUUUGUAUUUUUAUAUUUAUUUGUUUUCUUUUUUUAAAUUGCCUUGUAUGCAUUCCCUCCUUGGUAGCCCCCGUUUUUGAGUGAGAUGAUGCAUGGCACGACCCUCUUUGCAUUUUGCAAGGUGGCGUCCACUUCUUAAUUGUUGUUUACUUAUUUUUAAUUAUUUAUUUAUUUUUUUCCUAAGUGAAACUUAGACAUAUAAACCAAAUUAUUUCUUUCCUUUUUAUUUUGUGUUAUUACUAUAAAUAAUACCUUAUCCCAUAUUAAAAGUAAUUUGGAUUAUUAGGAGUAUAACGUACCUUCUACUGCAACGCACAUUAAAAUAUUUGGGGAAUAGAAUACACUUAUUCUACAUUCCAUAAUUUAUUAUUAUUAUUUCAUAAAUAUUAAAUCAUGCAAAUUUUGUUAUGAGAAGUUGAGUAUUCCUCUAUUUUUUUCUUCCUCCUCAUAAGUUCUCCCUUUUCAUUGAAACAUGAAAAUAUAUAUAAAAAAAAAAACAAUAAUAUAACAAUUGAAACAAAAUGAAAAAAGAGUUGGUCUAAUUUGGUGAAACAUAUGGUAAUAUGUUAUCUUAAAACUGUUAUCACCUCCCUACAUGCAGUGUUAACAAAUGGUAGCCGCUCUAAAAUACAACCUCAACCAUUGGCUAAAACUAUGGGAACCUAUCCAUAAUUCUAUUGUCUAAAAACUAUGAAAAACUCAAAAGAAGAUAUCUUUAUAAUAUUAUUUUUUUCCAUAAAAAUGAAAGGUCUUUUUAAUAAUAAAAAUAUGAUCAUUGUUUGAGUAUUAGUAAUUACCUUAGAAUAGUCAACUCCAUGAAUCUCACAAAUAUCAAUAAAACUCAUCAAAUCCCACACAAGAUUGGAAAAAUAAAAGUCACUUAUUGUCUUUAACCUUUACAAUAAUAAAAGGUAUGAUACCAAGAUUUUAACCUCUUUUUUAUUUUAUUUUUUUGUAAAAGAAAGUUUUAACUUUUAUAUUUUUGAGUAAAAUCUUACAUUCCUCCACAAGGUUUAAAACUUCAAAAUAAUAAUGAAAAUAAGUAAAUAAAUUAAUGGACAACGUUAUACUAUACAAUAUCUAUAGGUAUUUUUUGGACUUGAACUUACACUUAGUAUUAACAAUUUCCAUUUGAGGAUCCAUAGUGAAUUAUGUCUUGAACUACGUCCUUAAGCCAAACUUUAGCAUGACACACACAUAGUAUUGAUAUGAAACUUGAUUCUAAGAGAGUUAGUGAAUGUUAUUAAUGGUCAUGCACUAGUAUCUUGAUUCUCAUGAGAGUUACUAAGGAAUAACCCUACUCCCAUAGUCAUGGUCAUAGGAUGACUCUCAUUUAAGUGAGUCCUCCAAGGGUACAUAUGACUUGUACCUCAUAGAAUUUUUUAUCUUGGACCCAUUUAGGGAAAUACUCUUCCAAACAUCACAUCAAAAGCACUAUCACCAUAGUGAUGUAAAUUAGACUCUCUCCUGAAAAAUAGUGCUAUAAAGUUACGUAUUACAAAUUAUUUCUAUCCAUUUAACCUUCUUCAUGAUAUCUCCGAUCACAAAUGUUAAGUUACCAUUGGAGGUGACUCCUUUAAGGCCUUCAACCCAUCCCCCUUGAUGAUUCUAAGAUAGCAUUUCUAGAAAGACCCUUGGUCAACUAAUUGACAAAAUUCUUUCAGAUCUAAAAUCCAAGGAUGUCGAAUAGUAAGUUUUUAAUGCAUUCUGCCUCAAUGUAUAUUAUAUCAAGCGCAAUUAACUUAGAUUUCAUUGCUUCUUGAUAUUAUAGUUUGUUUUAAAUCCCUAAGAAAUAACAACACCUCUUAGAAGGAUAUUAUAUCUAAUAGUGAAUUUGACAUCUAAAUUUUCAAUUAUCCAAUUUACAUCACUAUAUCCUUCCACUACAUUAAGGAAUCCUUCGUAACAUAAAGAGUAAUCUAAACUUUCUCUAAGAUACUUAAAAACUCUUUAAAGCAACCCAAUUUUCCUUGCUAGGAUUAUGAUUAUACCUACUUAGUCUCCCCGCUACAUAUGUUAUACCAUUGUUAGUCUAGUUAUUUGAAAUAUACAAUAAAGACCCUAUUAUUUGAGAAUCAUUAAUUGUUGUAUUGCUCUCCAACAUUUUUCUUCAAAUGCAUAUGGGAAUCAUAGGGUGUGGAUAUUGGUUUACUAUCAAAGUAAUUAAAUUUUCUUAAUAUUUUUUCAAUGGCACUUCAUUGAUCCAAAUUUGUACCCUCAACUGUUCUUAAAAGUCUCAUUCCUAAUAUUAUGUAUCUCUCCUAAAUCCUUCGUCUCAAAGUUCAUAGAUAAAUAAUCUUUCAUGUCAUUCACUAUUCUAUACUACUUCCAAAAAUUAGAAUAUCACCUACGUAAAAACAAAGUAUGUUACAUUCUUUUAGAUCCAUUUUAUAAUAAAUACAUUUAUCAUAAUCAUUAAUCUUAAACCUAAAAUCCAAUAUGACUUUAUCAAACUUUUUAUGUCACUAUUUUAAAGCUUGCUUAAGACCAAUAUAAUGACUUGACCGUUUUCAAGAAUAGGGUGACUUCACUAAUUUCUAUUUAAUUUCUCUCUUAAUGUUGUUUAUGAUUCCUCUAGUUUAUGGGUGGGCUAAAUUUAUAUAUUACCUAAUUUUUAUUUAUUCCACCUCAUCAAAAAUUCAUGUUGGUUAGCCUUUUAUUCAUUCAAAAUCAUCAAAGAUUAUAUAGGUUAUCCUUUCAUUCAUUCCAACUCAUUAAGGAUGCACAUAGUUGCACUCUUUAUUUUUCUUCUACCUCUCCAUACCAUUAUAUACAAUUAUAUGAUUAUAUUUUUAUUUUUGUAAAUAGUAGAAGAAAAAGCAAGGAUGUCUCUUCCAAUCUUGUGAAAUAAUAAAUGUUAUAAAGUUAAAUUUUGGAUGCAUAAAAAUAGAAAGUUAAUUAAGUAUUAUUAAGCAAUCUUACUUUUUACCUUAAUCCAUGACACAUAAUACGAAAUUGAUUGAUAAAUCAACUCAAAUUCAUAUUUCACAUCAUGGAUAAAGGUAAAACAUAAUACCAAUUAAUUAAUUUUUUAUUUUAUCAUUUUUCUAAUCCAAGUCUCUAAUUGGUUGCCUUGAUUAAUUAGAUCAUCUACCAAGCUUUUUAUAUACAUUUCCAAAGAAAUAAGUCUAUAAUCAAUAAACAUAAUCAUACACGACCAUAAUUAAUACAAAUGCUAACAGUAAUAGGUGAAGAGAGAUGUCCAUCACUUGGGGAGUGAAAAAAGGUAUGAUGUUUGAAAGGGCCGAGCAGGGUUAUCAAUUAGGGAUGACAAUAGGGCAGAUUCGGAAUGGGUCGCCCCCAUCCCAACCCCGUCUCGUUUAUUCAAAAUUAUUUUCAUCCUCAUCCCAUUUAAAAAAUUAAACAGGACGAGACGAGUAUGAUAAAUUCUCAUACCCGUCCCACUUUGCCCCGUUUAACUAUAUUUUUUGAAUUUUAAUUUUUUUUAAAUUACUUUUAAAAUUUUUAAUUAUAUUAAAAUAAUUAUAUUUUAUAAAUAAUUAAAUUAUUAUAUUUUUUAUAACUUAUUUUAUUAAAAAUAUUUUUUUAUUAUUUAUAUAUUAAAAAUAGUAAAAUAAAAAUUAAAUUAAAUUAAUUUUAAAAUUUAAAUUAAAUUAAUUUUAUAUAUAAUCGGGACGGGACUUGGUAAUAUCCGAACCCGGCUCCAGGUUUAAAAAAAAAUUAUCAAACCCGUUUAUUAAAAUUGAAUCUCGUCCCACUAAAAGCGAGACAAACAGUACCUGAAAGAACCGGUCCACUGCCAUCCCUGUUAUCAAUUAGAGGCUUACUCAUUUUUAAACCAUUGGCUGAAGAGUAAAGGUCUCCCCACACAUGCCUGUUAUUAUCAAAACUAGAGUCGAACAAACUGACUAGUCAAAACAGAAAAGAGAUGAUGAGAGAUGAUUUUUGGGGAAGGGUACUAUCAAGUCAAUUAUAGAUGCCAAUUAUCAAGACAAGCUCUGACACUAACUAGUGCACAUGGUGAAUUCUAUGCUAGGCUACCGUAUAAAUGAUCAUUAUUGCUUUGCAUGUGAAGUAGAUGUAACAUCUAGUGACAUCCUUCUGCAACAGGGAGAUCCUUUAACAAGCACUUAACAAGACAUCAAUUGAGCUUUAGAGGAUAGGAUGGGAAGAAUACUUUUUUUUUUUUUUUUUUAUUUUAUCUCAAGAGGCAUAUCAGAUGAUAUUGUCUUAUUUGUUUAUCCUCUUAUACCUUAAUCUCAUUUAUUUGUAUCAUUUAUUUAACGAUCGAGAUCUUAUAUAUCGUAUAUAUUUCAAGACCCAAAUCUUUUGUUCGAGAGGUACCACUUUGGUAUCUUAGCAUUUUCCUUGAAGGAUGGAUAGUUGGAAGGAGUCAAUUUCAAUGGAAGCUGUGAAAUAAUAUGCUUAGAAAAGAUGAGGUUGGGUAAAUUAGUAAUAGUUUCAGGCAAAGCAACAAUAAGAGACAUGGUGAAUGAAAGAGAAAAAGAAGAUACUUGUUGGAGCUUCACAGUCUGAUUCCAUAACAGCAAAAAAAAAAACAAAGAAAAUUUUGAAUUGUAUUAUGAUUCACUAAUUUGAUGUCACAGAUGUGUACAGGAUGCUAGAAAUUAAUUUACAGUAAUAAUCACUAGUCAACCUAAAAUCUAGACAGUCUUUUUUUUUUUUGGUUAUCCAUAUUCUUUUGGGAGAAAGCUCCAAAUAAUGAGUAUAAUCAGCACCUCAGAUGUGAAGUUCCAUGUUAAAUGGCGAAAAUAAAGCAGGCCUAAGAAGACUGACAGGCAAAGGAGGUUGUUCAUGUUUACUGCCCCAUAAAUCUGCACCAAACAAUUCAUAUAGUGUUAUUGGAUUAGAAUAACACAACAGCAACACAAAAUUCACUAAGAUAGAGAAAAGCAGCAACGAAGUAGUCUAACAUCAACUUCUAUACAUAUAAAUUUGUAGGAGAAGAAAACCUCUGAAACUGUUAAAGGAGCAAUCCUCAAUUUCUUUUGGCUGGCAAAGAUUAGAGCAGACACUGCUUCACUUGAGCUAGCAAAAGGCAGAACAAUGAAUGAGACAAAGAAAGGAGGAAUGUUUGUAGCAGAGUAGAAGUUGCCAACAGCAUUGACAAGAGGAUCGACAAAUGUAGCAGCGAUAAGAGUUCCCAACAGCAAUAUAAACACUCCUUUGAAGGCACUCCAUUUGGGAUUUUCAAUCUUCUCAGCCGUAUAAAACUGAAUCCCCAGAAGCUCAUUCCCUUUGCUUGUGGGCUGAAUAUGCAUUUUAAAGAUGUCAGAUUACUAGUAGUGAGGACUUGAUCAGGACUAAACCGAGAAUAACAUGAAACUGACUAACAUACCGUGUUGAAGUCAUCUAUAAUUAUUCUUGUCUGGAAAUCACUGUCACUUGAACAAACUGCUGAAUGCUUAGCCUUAUCAUACCAUUUUGAGAUUCCUAUGAUAAAUGCAUCCAAGUUAAUUUUGGAAUCCCCACAUGCAUCAAAAUCUGUCAAUACUUUCCCAACAGCCUCAUCAAUAUCUGAAUCUUCUUUAAUCUGGAUUCCUGUUAUCAGUGCUCUUAACUCACUAGCCGAAAGCUGCUGAUCUGAAUCCUCUCCAAUCAUCUCAAAUAACCUGUCAUUGUAUCCAAGAAAGAGUUGAUCCAUUGAGAAUCAAGGCUGAUCAGACAAGUUAGAAAGGAAUUUGCUGAGUAUGUGAGGAUUGGAAUUGCUUCAUGCAAUUGAUGUGUUCGAAUCUAAUUUAGAAAAGCCCUAUGACUAGGGUUAAAAGGGACAUAUUCAAAGAGGAAAGAAGUUGAAAUUAUAACAAAGACUAACUUUUUUAUCACUUCUCUAUCAGGUUCCCCAUUAGCUGUUAAGAGCCUCCCCAGGGUACAACAUUUCAAAUGUUUUACAAUUCUCGACAUCAUAUGCUUAUCCUUUGCAUGUGUAAGUCUUGUUUUCAAAACUGAAGGGUGAAAGACCUGCAACAACAUUUGACUGGAAAUUUGAGAAGAUGGCAUAAGAAAAGGUUUGGCUACCAAAAAAAAAAAAGUCAACAAGAAGCAGCCUCUGAAUUUGAGUGGACAAAUACCUGAUGAAGGCAAUAUGCAAGCAAUAAAGAAAUAGAGAUAAUGAGGGAAAUCAAAACUGCUAAGCAAAUUUGUGAAGUUGUGUGGAGAACUUGUGAUAGUUGGAUUAUUAUGAAUGGCAUAACAGAUAUAACCAUGAUCCUUGCUGUAUAGCUAGCCCUGAUAUCAGUACUAGCAGCUGAACCUGAAAAUAGCAAUAAAGGAACAUGCAUUAUGUGCUAGGACAAUAAUCAAGCUAAGCAGCAAUUAACUUGUUAGAGGUAGCCAGAACUAAUAAUAUGCUUUAGCACGUAUACUGAUAUGCACAGAACUAAAAAAAUUUUACCUACUGCAUAACAAACUUCACAUGAAGAAAUACUUAAUUUGGACAGCGAAGAUAAAGAACAAUUAAAUAGUAAUAGCAUUUCAUAAUUCGAAGAUUUGAAUUAAUCCCAGUUGAAAAGUUGCUCCACAAAAUAUUCUUUCACACAUGACACUAACAGAGUCCUAAGAAGUGAAGAGGGGAGGUAAGUACCGACUAAGCUGAAUCCUCUGGCAUUUUUCUCCACAGGUUUUGCCCUCAAAUUUUCAAGAUCACACUUGCCAACUAUGAUGCAGCACCCUCCUAGCAAUGUUAGAAGCAUGGCAGUUGAUCCACCCAGCAAAGCACUCCCAGCUGACACCUGGCUUGAAGCAGUAUCCUUGUUUCCACAUAGUCUGGAUGCUUCAGAAAUGUAAAAGAGCAUUCCGUAAGUGCAUAGAAUGAUUAGAUUACACAUAGGCAUUGGAUCUUCAAGAACACAUCACCUAAACAAUUUCAGUGGAACAAAAAUGAUGAAACUUGACAAUUGGGAGGCUACAGACUAACAAAGGCUCACAACUGGCAUGAAUAACUAUGAAUCAUCUGCACUAGCCCACCCAAUGGCUCAGUAAACUAGAGGGAAAAAAACCAGAUUUAUUUUUGAGUUGAACCCUUGAACUAAUUACAAUUCUUUCUCUCUGGUUGUACAUUUUCAAGUAAACGUAUACAUUUUGUUCCUUUCAUCUGCAUCGAAAUCACUUGAAUUUGCACAUCUCAGCCACUCAUCUUCUCCAUCCAAUCCUCAUUUUGGUCAUUCUUGGCAAUGAAAAUCCUCUGAACUUUUUUCGAGGUUUUCAUCGUUUCCCAUUAGCAUUAUCCUCAAAAAGUUUCAUUCAGGCAUUUCAUCAAGCAGUUUAAACAACUUUCAGUUUCUCUACUCUUUGCUCCUUUUAGUACUUCUCUGUUUUGCAAUCAAACCAUAUCCUUCUAAUUAAGUUGAUACUAUUGUUGAAGUUUUGAUCACUACCUUAUCUACCACAAACAAAAAUACCCUGUUCACCUCCCUUUCUUUCAGUUCAUGCAUUCAAACACAAAAUCUAUAUAAACAAUUAGCCUGCAAGUACAACAGAAUCAUUAUAACAUGCAUGUGAUGCUAAGUGCACAUACCUCCCAAGCUUCAUCUGGUUGAAUUGAACUAAAAAUCAAAUUUAGUUUCCUUAAAACAUCAGAACCACAAAAGCAAAUCCAUUGUCACAAGAGGUUUUCCAAGUUCUCUAGACCUACAAAAGUCUGCAUCUAACACAUGUAGAGUGAAUUUUGUAUGUUGACACUUACACAAGGUUUGUGUAUAUAUAUGUCAUCAGCAUAAUAAUUGACUGGGGAAAAAGAAAGGAAAGUUUUGUUGUAUUUUUCAUAUCAAGGCAAAAAUAUAUAUAUAUAUAUAUAUAUAUAAAUAAAUAGAAACUGUUAGGGUCCCACCUAUUGAUAAUAGUAAUAGUAAUAUAAGGGAUAUCCCCAUACUACAAGCCUCUUUGAUGCAUAUAAAAAAUAUGCUAUGGUUGUUUUUUUUUUUUUUUUUGAUAUUUUUGGAUACUUAUGCCACCAAUUGUCUUUGUGCCACUUGUAUGGUAGAUGUAUGGAAUGUUCUGUAUUUUUUCUUUUCUCCUUGACUACUUUGCAGCUUUAUGUCCAUGGUAUUGGGUCCAGAAAAAUGGCAACUAGUGAAACAAAUAGGAGAAGAAAGAUUAAAAACAUGGCCCCUUUUUUCAUGGUCUUGAAACUAAGAACUUGAAUCAGAGAAGGUGCCCAGAUUGAAUCGAUAAUAUUUUUGGAAUUGCAAAUUCAACAAAUGGGUUGAGAUAUGGAAUGGAUGCAUACAAGUAACUUCUACUUGAUUUGGCUGAAAAUUAAAGUGACCCAUAAUUCUAAAAACAUGAUAGAUUUCAAGAGAGAUCUCAGCUUACAUCAAGCUUACCAAGGAUGAUAAUAGCAUCAGGAAGAGAGCUGAGCAGAGGUAGAAAAACUCCACCAGUAAUCCCAGGACUUAGAAGUUCCACCAGAAUCUCACUUCCAUCAUACAAAAGCCUGGCUGCAAAGAACAUCAAGUAACCAUAAACCAGGAUAAGGAAUACAUUUCCAAACACAGUGGUGGUGCAUGGCAUGACCCCAUGUGUCUGUUUACAGCUAUAUGGUGAAGGCCGGUGCUCAAAAACAACAAAAGCUGGUUGCUGAACCUCUCCACCUCCAUUAGAGACCUGUCCAGAGGAAGAGUAUUUAGGUGCAAUAUAUCGACAAUUCCCAGGGUUCACUUGCAGGAGAAGAAGCAAUUGUAGAAGAAGUAAUGCAUGUUUCUUUCCCAUGUUUGAGCUUGGCUUUGUGACCAGAACCUGAAGGGUCCCAUAUAUAUUGUAACCAUUCUUGUCCUUAUUGUCUUUAAUGGUUUUAUCUUUGAUGCUGGUCGAAAGCUUGUGUCUGGUCGUUGCGCCUUGUAGGCCCACCAGGAACUGAUGAAAUAAUUGGUGCGUGUUGAAUGGGAACUUAGAAAAUGUGAUGGGAAUUAUUUGGCAUGAGAAAAUAUUGUUAAAUAACGUAAAUUACUUUUCCGAAUAAAUACAAAUACGUGGAUGUUGAAGCAAUAUUUAAAAAAUAAAAAAUAAAUAGUGGUUCUUACUUCGUUUUAUUGAAUCAUUUCAAUUGCUUUUCCAAAUAAGAGGUGGAUGCAAUGUUUUGAUAAAAUAAAUAAAUAAAUAAAUAAUGAUUUUUCGUUACCCACACCCAUUUGAAACUCUAAAAUUAAUGUCAAAAAAUUAUUAGUUAAUCCAACAAUCACAGGAUUGUUAAAGAUAAUUUAUGGGAUAAAGAUAAUGUUAAAUGAUACCGAAAAAGUCAAUUCUACAAUUAAUUGAUUAUCAACAUAUUAAGUAUUAUAUGAUGAGCUUGAUUUAGGGUGUUGCACUUUAUUAUUCAUAUUUAAAUCAAUGCCUAUUGAAAAGUAUGAUCAAUCACAACAUGUCAUAUAUAUAAUUUAAUCUCAUGAUUUUAUAUCUCAUUCAUAAGUCAUUAAUUUAUUUGUUUUUAACUUAAUAUGAUAUUUUCCUAUUUGUUUAUACUUGAUCUCAUAUAUUUGUACUUUCAUGAUUAAAAGAUCACUAAGUACUAAUAGCCAAGCAUUUUUCUUCUUAUAUUUACGCGAGUCUUGGUUCAUUUCCACAAUUUAUGAUCAAUCUUCGAUGAUGUAGAAUUCAGGUUAUUUUAACUUGUGAGUCUUUUUCACACAGGAUUUGAAAUAUUAAGAGUAGAACCAUGAUAAUGUAAAUUAGGUAGGAAGCAAUGUGGACUACAACCAAGCCAUAUAAUGUCCAAUACGUUUCUAAAAAUUUUUAUUUUAUGCCCUUACAAGUUUUGUUUUGUUUUAUUUUCAAAGUAACGUGAUGUGUAAGCUUCAAAGUGCUCACGCUCACCUAUCUUAUUCAUAUUAUUAUUAUUAUUGCAAAAUCUUUGAAGAAGUCACUUCUCUUCAUGUUGGAGAAUUGUAGAAGAAGCCAUUGACAACAAAAUCAUGAAUGUUCUUAAGCUACAAAUUAAACUUGACACCAUUGGCACUUUUCUAAUACAAUUUCGCGGCUCCCACACAAAAAUAGUCUUAGGGGAGUGGUCAAUUAUGUGGAUACAAUGAUGAACUCAAGGAAAAUUAUUGAGACAUAUAAGAUCAAAGGUGUAUCAAAUUAAAGCCUUAGUUAUGAUUAGUGAUGUAUAAUCAACUGCAAUAUAUAAUAUUAAUUUAAUUGGAGUCAUAGAACCGAUGGUUACGAUUUGAAAAAUAUUAUAAUUAAUAUAGAGAGACAUGAUGCCAUGGGUGGUCCAAUCCUAUCGGUUAUAUAAAAUAUGAUUUGAUGAAAAGACUAAGAUGAUAUAACAUAAGAAUCUCCUUAAAUAUUUUUCAAUUUUUUAGAUAAAAUUAUAAUUUAUUGAUAGGCUCAAUUUCAAUUGUAAAGUCAAAAACAAAUUACCCAUGAAAAAAAGUGUUUUAAUCAUGACCUUUAAUACUAAUUUGUUAAAAAAGUUGUUCAUCAUAACUUUUAAGACUAAUUUGUGCAUGUGCAUGGCAAUCAAUGCUUAAAAGAAAAGUUGUCUAACCUUUUAUAAGAUUCAUGUGAGUUUGACAAGUGAAGUUGAUGCUUUUUUUUUCUAAUAUCCAUGUAUCUUGAUUAAAAAAAGUUGCUAAAAGAUUAAUGGAGUUGGUUAAGAUAAAAACAAAAAAGAAUAAACAAUUAAAAAUUAACAUAUUUCUUAAUUUACCUUUACUACUUUGUAUUUGUGGAAAAUCUUAUUCAAUAAUUUUUUAAUUCUUAGGCAUCAGAAUGGAUAAUAUUGAAUAACUAAUUUUCCUAAAAGCUUAGAAUUGCCUCAUAUCCAUACAUGAGAAUUUGGAUUCAUAUUCAAUAAAGAAUUACAAAGAGUGAGAUGAAAACAAAUGUGAAAAAUAAACAUACAAAUUACAAAUAGAUGACUUAAACCACAACCUUUUGUCAAAUCAAGUUCUGAUACUACGUUAAAUAACCAAUUUUCCUAAAAGUUUAAUCUUAUAGGAUUUAAAUUCAAUAUGCAUAUUAUGCCUCCUUAUCAAAUAAUAUAUAUUUUUUAAAAAUUAGCGGUAUGUGAUAUGACGUACAUAAAUUUCAAUGGAAGUUAUUAAGAAAAUGCAAUGAAACAUCAAAUACAAACAGGUGUAGAGCUUCAUAUAUAGUCAUCAACUGAAAAAAGAACUGAAAAUAUGGGUGUACCCUUGAUGCUCUUUUUGCUGUCUUUGAACUGAAAAUGUGUCUAUGACCAUCCCAAAUAAUUGUCAAGAACAUACACCAACACCAAGGAUAAUGGGUAAAGCAGGAAGGCCAUCAAGCUUGUCCAAAGAGGGAAAGUUGUACGGGUACCAGCAAAGACUCCCAUCAGUAUGCAUACUAUCAGAAUAAUCAGCACCUCAGAUGCGAAGUCCCAUGUCAACUGGCGAAAGUAGAUGAGACCCAAGAAGACAGACAAGCUAAGGAUGUUGCCCAUUGUCACUGACCCAUAAAUCUGCAGAAAGAAACUCAAUGGUUAUGGAGUAGGCCAUUAUUACGCCUAAUUUUAAGGUUGAGAAGAGGAGAAGCAUACCUCAGAAAAUGUUAAAGAAGCAGUCCUCAACUUCUUUCUGCUGGCAAAGAUCAUGGCUGAUACUGCUUCACUGGAGCUAGCAAAAGGAAGAACAACAAAUGAGACAAAGAAAGAAGGGAUGCUUGUAGCAGUGGAGAAGUUGUCAACAGCAUCAACAAGGGGAUCGGCAAAUAUAGCAGCAACAACUGUGCCCAAAAGCAACAUGGCUACUGCUUUAGAGGCAUUCCACUUGGGAUUUUUAAUGCUCUCCACUUCCUCCUCUUCAUUCUGAUCCUCCAACUUAUCCUGCUCCUCUCUUGUUCGCUGCAUAUGCAUUUUAAGGAUGUCAUAGUACUAAGUUACAAACAUUCGGGACUGGAUAAAGAAAAACUUGACCCUUGACCAUGACAUACCAGAUUGAAGUCAUUUAUAUAUCUUGUUGACAGGGAAUUACUGCCAUCACUGCCAGCAUGAAUUGCUGAACGCUUAGCCUUAGUAAGCCAUCUUGACAUUCCUCUGACAAACUCAUUCAUAUCAAUUUGGGAAUCCCCCGUUGUAUCAAAAUCUUUCAUUACACUUUUCACAGUUUCAUCAAUAUCCAAAUCCGCUGCAUCAAACUGGAUCCCUAUUAUCAGGGCUCUUAUAUCAGUAACAGAGAGGUACCCAUUCGAAUUUACAUCAAUUGUCUCAAAUAACCUGCCAUCAUAUCCAUGAAUUAAAGGGUAUAUUGAGAGAAUCAAGGUUGAUUAAUUUUCAAGUUUCCAGUCAUGAUUUUGUCAAGUAUUUGUGCUUCCCUUCAGGCCUGAGUAGUUUGUUAAUAAGAUCUCAUUCAGUUAAUUUAUGUGCAGAUUCCCAUAGUGCCUAAUUCAGUGAAGUGACCAAGAGACAGAUUCAACUCAAAGUGCAACAAAGACUGACUUUUUUAUGGCUUCUGUAUUAGGUUCACCGUUAUUAGUGAAGAGCCUUCCCAGGAUAUGGGACUUCAAAUGUUUUAAAAUUCCCGACAUUAGAUGUUUAUGCUUUGCAUAUGCAAGUCUUCUCUUCUGAAUCCUAGGCUGAAAGACCUGCAAUGGUGUUGAUUGGAAAAACGCAAAGAAGCUCAGACAACAAAGGAUUUGGUUACUGAAAAAAUAGACAUCUUUCAACAAGAAGCAACAAGGGAAUGUAUAUAAAUCCAAGUAGAUGAACAUAUACCUGAUAAAGGCAAUAUGAAAGCAAUAAAGAAAGAGAGACAAUGAGUGAAAUCAAGACUGUUAAUCGAGCUUGCGAAGUUGUAUGGAGAACUUGUGAUAUUUGGACUAUAAUGAAUGGAAUAACAGAUAUAACCAUGAUCCGAGCCGCAUAGCUGGCCCAGAUAUCAGUACUAACGCCUGAACCUGAAAAGACCAGAAAACACACACACACACACACAUUAUGUACCAGGAUCAUUAUCAGAAAAUUUUGUAUUAACCCCUGUAAUUCUGAAGUCUUGUUUAAUUACUCUUUCAAUUGAAAAGUUCAUCCAGUAAAUAGUCCAUGACUGAUCAAUAAAUGACCAAAUGCAGAGGUUUAUAAAUAAAUGAAGUUGAGGGAAUUACCAGUUAAGCUGAAUCCUCUGGUGUCUUUCAAAUCAGUAGCCACUGAAUUUUCAAUGUCACACUUGCCAACUAUGAUGCAAGAUCCCCAUAGUAUUGUCAGAAGCAUAACAGUUGAUCCAGCUAGCAAGCCCAUACCAAUUGAGACCUGACUUUGAGCUGUUUCUUUGCUUCCAGAUAGCCCAGAUGCUUCAGAAACACAAAAGUUUCACAACAAAAAAGUCAAUAGAAGUAUGAUUAAUUAGACUACAUAAUGAUAGUCAUCAACUGUGUGCAAACACGUUGUUGAAUUUAUUGAAUAGUAUGAAGAAAGUCUAUGAAAAUUAACAAUUGGCAAUAACAAUUGUGAAUUAACCGAAAAACUUGGACUUGGGGUAGCAGCUAUUUUGGAUCUGUUUUUGUUUUAGUUCCAGUUAAGUUUGCCCUCAGAUGGAUCAUUGAGGCUUUCAUCAAUAUCCACACUAUUUCAUGCCAUUUGGCCAUUUGUAAACAACUGAUUUUUUCCUACUAAUACUAUUAGCUUUAUUUGGUUGCAUAGAAUUGGAAUCCAAUUCCCCUGAACCCCACAAUCCAAAAAUAAACAACUGAAUAAAAGAAAAUAGAAGGAAAACCCAUGGUAAAAACAAGGAUUUGAAUUCCAAAUUGUCCAAAUCUGCAGAACCAAGAACAACCCAAAUCUUCCAAAAAUCUAGGAGAUGUGUAGCCCUUAAUCCUAGCUGAUAUCAUUGUAGGCAACUUGAAUCAGUUUUGGAAAAAAAAAUUCAUCUAUCACAUGUGACCAGUCCAUUUUGUGCAUUAAGACUUACAGAGGGUAGAUAUUUAUAUAGUAAGAAAUCUAAUAUUCCCAUUGUAUGUAUUUGCUUACUAUAAUAAUUGCACCCAUCGGAAAUCUCGGAUCUGAUAAUGGAGUUAGUAAGGUUGAACUUUCUUUGUUGGCAAUAAUAAUAAAAGAGAUAAGCACAUGUCCAUGGAAUACUUUUCAUACAUAUGUUUUUCUUGACAACUUGGAACUUAUGUCAAUGGUAUUAGGUAUAGAAAAGUUGCAGAAAGAGAGCAAGUGGGAUUAAUAUAUAUUAAUCUUGGGCCCUCUUGCCAUGGUUCCAAAAAUCAGAACUCAAGUUAGACAAGGUACCCAAAUUGAAUUGAGAAAAAACAAUGUUUACAAUUCAACCUAUUGGUCAAGAACACAGACCAGAAUGAAGAGAAAAGCAAAUGAGAUCAGUUUUAUCAAUUUGGGUGGGAAAAGUGAAUGAUGGAUCAAAACGGUAUGAUGGAUUUCAAGCUUACCAAGGAUGAUAACAGCAUCAGGAAAAGCACUGAGCACAGGCAGGAAAAGCCCACCAAUAAUUCCAGGACCAAGAAUUCCCAGCAGAAUCUCACUUCCAUCAGACAAAAACUUGGCUGCAAUAAACAUCAAGUAACCAUACACAAGGAUUAGGAAGAUGUUUCCCAGCACAGUGGUCGUGCAUGGCAGGAAUCCAUAUGUCUGGUCACAGCUAUCUGAUGAAGCCCAAUUCUUAAAAACAAUAAAUGCUGAUUGCUGAACCUCUCCAACUCCAUCAGAGACCAGACCAUAGGCAGAGUUAUCUGCGACCCCCUGACCCUUUCCGCCAUUGAUCAGCAUCAUGAGAAAGAGAAAGGCUAGAAGAAAGAGAGCAUGCUUCUUUGCCAUGGCUGAGCUUGGCUUUGUGAUCAGAAGCUAAUAUGUUAGGUGUCUUCUGGUUCUUUUCCACAUUGCCUUAAAACAUGCCUCAUACUUGGAGAACUUGUAGGUGAGGAAGAACAGGUGGUAUUGGGAAAUUUAAAAUGGGAGGCUUGAGUCAAGUCAAUGGAAGAGGUUUUACAGAUAUGGGGAAAAAAAAAAUCAAUAGAGAAGAACAAAAAAUCCUAGGUAUGGUAUCACAUCAUGGGAUUUUUAUAAGAGUACAGCAGUUUCAAAAAAUAAUUUCUAAAUUAUCGUAGUAGAAAAAAUAAUUCCAAAUCUACCAUAGUUUUGUCCAAAUAGGAAAGAGAAAAUAACUUGUAAGUGAAAAAUCGUCUCCGAUUUUCAAAAAAUAAAAAAUAAAAAUAAAACAAAGUGAGAAAUUGUCUCUUAAAGAGACGAUUUCCACACAAAAGUGAAAAAUGGGAAAUCGUCUCUUCAAAAGACGAUUUCCAUGUGAGAAAUUCUCACUUCAAAAAAAAAAAAAAAUCUUCAAAAAUCCAUUUUUUCAUUCUUUAUUUUAUUUAUACAAUAAUACAAUUAUUGUAAAUAUAUAUUAUGAAAUUAAUUAAUUUUAUUUACUAAAUUUAAUAUAUAAAUAAUAUACUAAAUUUAAUAUAAGAUAAAUAAUUUAUUAUUUUUUUCUCUUACUUUGGAAUUAAAAAAAAAUUAUUAUCAAUUAUGUGAAAAAUGAGUUUUAAAAACAAUUGUUAUUAAUUUAUUAAAUAAUUAUUUAGUAUAUUAUUUAAAGAAACCCAAGUAGAAACCGUUUCUUCAAGAGACGAUUUUCACACCACCUUUAAAAGCGAGAAAUUCUCACUUUAAACAAAAAAAAAAAAAAAACCCUUCAAAAAUCCAUUUUUUCUUCUUACUAAAUAACAUACUAAAUUUACUAUGGUUUUUUUUUUUUUUGAAGUGAGAAAUUCUCACUUUAAAAGGUGGUGUGGAAUCGUCUCUUCAAGAGACGAUUCCCACUUGGGAUUUUUUUAAAUAAUAUACUAAAUAAUUAUUUAAUAAAUUAAUAACAAUUGUUUUUAAAAUUCAUUUUUCACAUAAAUUAAUAAUAGUUUUUUUUUUAAUUCCAAAGUAAGAGAAAAAAUAAUAGAUUAUUUAUCUUAUAUUAAAUUUAGUAAAUAAAAUUAUAAUAUAUAUUUAUAAUAAUUGUAUUAUUGUAUAAAUAGAAUAAAGAAUGAAAAAUGGAUUUUUGAAGGCUUUUUUUUUUUUUUUUUUGAAGUGAGAAUUUAUCACAUAUAUAUUCUUGAAGAGACAAUUUUUCACUUGCAAUUUAUUUUUUCUUUCCUAUUUGGACAAAACUACUGUAAAUUUGGAAUUAUUUUUCCUAUUACGAUAAUUUAGAAAUUAUUUUUUAAAACUACCGUACUCUUAUAAAAAAAUCCUCACAUCAUGGUGAAUGAGUUAAUUACAUACCAAUGUAUCAUACCAUAUCAAAUCUAUAGUACCAUUUGUCAUAUUGUUGUUUAGCCCAGAUUUCAUGUGCCUUUUUUGUUAUUCUUUUAUUUUUAUAAAAUUAUAUGUUCAUGAAAUAAUGACUAAGAAAUAGAGAGGGGGUGUUUUCAAAUUUAGGGCAUUGUUUAGCUGUACUGAAAUAAAUUUGAUACUAUCUAUUUAAAACUCAAAGUCAAUUAGUAACUAGUACAAUAUCAAUUAGGAGCGAUUUCAUGUAAUUCUAAGUUGUUAAUUAACAUAUGUGUGAUUUUAUUUUUUUUAGAAGCAUGACAUUGUUGAGCUUUAGUCGAGGUAAACUUGAUAUCAGAUUUUGAUUAAGAUUAAUCGUGUUUAUAUCACGUUAACCCCCUUUGUAGGGACCUCUCCCCCUGGGAAACACGUGGCACGCAGCUCAUGGUGACGCGUGGCACGUGUUAUCAGCCGAACCAUCAUCAUCCGGAUUCCCCUAAGGAUAUGCAUGGUGCAGUUAUCCUAUCCGGACCGCCUCAAGGAAAGGCAAACGACGUUUCAGCUUCUCCUAUCCAAGGAAGAGCAAACGACGCUGGCAGAGCGUAGACAUCCGGAUAGUCCCCACAACACAUCCGGAUAAUCAGCAUGAGCCAUCCGGAUAUAAAUCGUCUGGAUGGUCAAUUAAAGUAGCGUAGACAUCCGGAUAGUCCCCACAACACAUCCGGAUAAUCAGCAUGAGCCAUCCGGAUAUAAAUCGUCUGGGUGGUCAAUUAAAGUAAAGUGAGUCUUACACGCAAUCACAACAAGCAGCCAUGGCCCACAUCUUGUCACCUGCAGAGUGAAAAGACAAGAUGAAGUGAUAGCAAGUCACUUCCCACGAUCAUUCUACAUGAUCACCUUCCCACAAUCUCUGACAGCCGCAUCACCUACCAUAGUUUCUGACAGUCGUUCGUAGGGUGAUAAUGCUCCUACUAACACCUAUUGUCAUCAUCACAACAUAAAAUAUCUCCUCACCAUUAAUGAGAGGAACAGUACCCCUGAAGCUGUAUAUAUAUGCCUUCGCACGAAGAAAAAAGGGAUCCCCCUGGUAACCUCUUGAUACCUAGUAAAAGGCCAACUAAUUUAUACAUCUCUCUCUCACCAUGGCUAACAAAACCAUCGGAGGGUGCGUCCGGACACCUUGUCCGGAUGCCUUUUGCAGGUGCAACCGCUGAAUCAAGAACCCCUUGUGUGUUGAGAAUCACGUGUCCAUCCAUAUAGUAGCAACGUGGACCACCGGAUACGCGAGGCGACAACACCCUUAACCUAUUCUUGAUUGAAUCCUUUUAAUUCAGACACAACUCACGGAUUUAAUUCAUCGUGUCUGUUUUAACAUAAUUAUAACUCAACCAAUAAUAUAGUAGUACUAUGAUUCAACCCAUAUAUCACCCACUUAUUCUUAUAUAUGGUAAUAAAUUUUAAGAUUAGAAAUAAGGUUGUUAUUAAUAAGUUAUAUUAAUUUUAUUAUUUUUUAGAAACCAUUUAAAAAAAAUAAAUUAUUUUACAAUUUAUCCAAAUUUAGAGUUUGAAUGAGUUGCAUGAGUCAAAAUCAUAUUAAUUGUAUCAUACUUAUAUUUGGAUUAUUAGUUUUGUAUCAAGCUAAUAUAGUUUAAUUUAACUUUGUCAAAUAAUUUGUCCUAUCAUAUUACCUAUGUAAUAAAUAAUUCAUAUUUGUGUUAAAAAAAACUAAUAUUAUUAUUAACUGAAUUAAUUAAAAAAAACCUUUAAUAUGAUAUAAAAUUUGCAACAUGACUUAGAGUUUGUUUAAUAGUAUUUUAAAAAAAUAUUUUAACAUAAAAAAUAAACUAUUUUUGGAGAAAAAUCAUAUAGUUUUCAAAAAUUAAAAAUAUUUUUUAAAAAAUUAAAAAAAUCACUUGUAAUAUUUUAUAGAUGAUGCACCCAAAAGCACUUCUAAAUAAGGCAUUUUAACUAAAAACACCUCAGAUAUAAAUGUUUUCAAAGACACCCUUAAUUACCAUUCUUCGUAAUAAUGCCAAGUUUUGUAAGAAGGCAUGAAUUUAAAUAUUUCUUCUUAUUUAUUUAUUUUCCUAUUUAUUAAUGAAACUUACAUGUGAGCCAAAAAUAAAGGGCACAUGGGAUAGUGUUUUACUAUAUAACUCUGAUACAAAUAAUAAUAAUUGUGUCAAAAAUAUAAACUUAAAUACUACUUAAUUAUUAAACAUAUAACACAUCGUAUAUCUUAUUUAACCCAUUUAAUAAUCAAGUUAUUCUAUUUAAUAAUUAGGUUGGGUUAGGUCUUAUAAAUGUCUACAUGAUUAAUGCCUCAACUAAAUAUGUUUAUGAUUUAUUAGACUUAUUUAUUUAAAAAAAAUCAAAUAUAGGUGAAAUAAUUUAAAAAUAUAAUUAAGUUAAUAAUAAAAUUAUUAGACGGAUCAAUUCUCGUAAUAUGGAGGUUGAUCUAAAAAUUACUUAUUUAUUAAAGGAGUGAUGUAAAUUAAUUUGAAUUUGAUUUAAACUCAUUUAUAUUCAAUUUAAAUUCACGAAAAACAUUGAUGUUAAGCUUUGUGACCCCUAAUCAAUAGAUUAAGGAGGAAAAUUAAUACCAAUAAAUGACAUAACAAAAUAAAAAUAAUAGGAAGUUAGAUAUGGUAGAUGGUACAAUGAAAGUGGAAAUUGGAAACAAAAAUUGUAAAUUGACUAUCUUGACCCUCCUACAAAAAAAGUAGAGAUACUAGAAAUAGGAAGGCGAAUCGCUGGUAAGCUCUUGCUCACUUCCUUUGAUGGUGAAUUUCAGAGUGGGGAAACCAACGGUAAAACCAUCACGCCAAUCACCAUGUCCUCUCCUUCCGAUUCUCAGGGUCCGGAUGAGGCUCUCAUCACCCAAAACCCUAGCAUGCCCACUGAACAACAUCCACAAUCUCAAGCUCAAACUCUCUCCCUUAAAACCCUAACCCUAGAAAUCGCCGAUCCCCAAAACCCUGAACCAAGUGAACAGUCACACCCUCAACACCAGCAAAUCUCUAUCGAAGAUGAUCAAGAUGACCCAGAAGGUACGUCUCCUUCUUCUUCAUCAAUUUCCGUUUCACACAUCACCAUCACCAUCCCCGACUCAUCUGCCCCUCAAAAUCCUCCUCUCACCACGCCCACCAAUGCUCGCCGUUCACUCAAGCGCAAGAAGGGAGCUCAGUACAAGCGACGUACUGCUCUUGAAAAAUUUCAGCAGCAGAAACUUGGUGCACUUAUUAAAACCCUAAAUCCGAUCCCCUUUGUGCCUAAUAAAACCCUAGAUUUUUCCAAGCAUGAGUCGCUGCUUAAUCGUCUUGGGUUGUGGGAAUUUGUUCAUAUUGAGUUUGAUCAGACCAUUCGCACAGAUCUUCUUGCGCAGUUGAUUGCAAAUUAUACGCAGAGUGCGAGAGGCAGUGUUGUUAAUGGGGCUAAGAUUAAGGUCAAUAGGGCUGAUCUUGCUCGGGCGAUGAAGUUGCCGGUGAAGAAGGAGAAGGUCAGUGCAUCGUCGGAGGGUGUCUUGGAGGCUCCGGCGGCAGAGGAGGCGAUUGGAUUUAUUGAGGAUUUGGUCUCAAAUUGGGUGCUUUUACACGAGGAUACGUGGAUGAUGCCAACGGAGGUUUUGACUUGGACGCGGGUGAUUAAGGAGGGGCACCCGGAGAAGGUAGAUUGGGCGGGGUUGAUAUGGUUUAUGGUGGAGAAGGAGUUGCAUGCAGAAGAAUUGGUGAAUUGUUACUAUGCUUCACAUUUGCAGUGUUUGAUAAGAGCACAAAAGGAGGAGCUUUUGAGGGCAGAGGCUAAGGAUGAGGUUGAAGUGAAGGAGGAAGAGGAUGGUGGUGAUGUGGAGAUGGGUGAGGAGGGUGAUUUUCCAGAUCGUGAAGCAGAUGAUGAUGAUGUGAAGAUGGAUGAAGAUGUGAAGUUGGAUGAAGAGGUGAAGAUGGAUGAAAAUGUGAAAAUGGAUGAAGAUGUGAAGAUGGAUAAAGAUGUGAAGGUGGAUGAGUAUGUGAAGGUGGGUGAGGAUGUGAAGGUGGAUGAAGAUGUGAAGGUGGAUGAAGAUGUGAAGGUGGAUGAGGAUGUGAAGGUGGAUGAAGAUGUGAAGGUGGAUGAAGAUUUGAAGGUGGAUGAAGAUUUGAAGACUGUGGGCUUGGAUGAUAUUCAAGGACAUGAAUUGGAGGAACAUAAUAUUCAAUUACGUUUGGGUCAAGAUGGCGUUGGGAAGGAAAAGGUAAAGGAUGAGGACAAUAUGGAUUUUGAUGAGUGCAAGGAGCAAGAACCUGGGCAGUGGUUCUUGGACGGGAAGAAUGAUGAUAAUGAACCAUACUUGCGUCCUUGUACUCUUGAUGACCUUAAGGGUUCAGUUUGUGAUGAGGAAAGGAAACAAGAAGAAGAUGAAGAAGAAGAAGGAGAAGAGGAAGAAGAGCAGGAUCGUGGUUUUAAUCUUUCACCAAAAUGUGGCAAUUUAGCUGGUCUAUCCUCGGAGAACCUUAUUCACGCAAUGGAAGCAUCACAAGUUCCUUUUAAUUCAUCAGUGCAGCUUCGUGAUCAUUCUUCCAUGGAGCUUCUCUCAUCAAGGGCUGAAGCAAAUAUGAUUCCAGGGGGUCCAUCCAUUUUCAGUAACUCUAGCAAGAGAGAUAUCAGCCAUGAACAUGAUAUUUCUCAUCAAUCUCUAAAUAGUAGUCAUAAGAGGUUGAGGAGUGACUUUGACAUGUGUAUGGAGCAAAUAGAGCAUUGGAUGGGAAAGGCCAAGAUGCUUCAUCAGGCAAAAGAACAAGCUUAUGCUGAAUCAAGUAUGAAUCAGCAAUUCUUAAUUGGUGAGCUGCAACAGCGAGACAACCUGAUUGAACUUUUGCAGAAAGCCAAGUUUGAGGAGUUUCAGAAAAGAGAAGUGGAAACAUACCGGCGGGAUCGUGAACUUUUUGUGAUGGGAAAUCUCUUAGAGAGCUAUAGGAAGGCUUUAAGAGAAACACAGCGGGCAUUUUCUGAAUAUAGAGCACACUGUCCACUUCCUGAUGAGCCACUUUACAAUGAUGUUGGUGAGACAGGGGGUGUUGUUCUGAGCACCAUGGAAUUGGAAAAACAACGUCGGAGGCAGGAAGAAGAAUAUAGGAUGAACUGUUUGCUGGUGGAACAAAAGAUUAAGGACUUUGAGGUUGUGUGGUUCAACAAAUUAGAAUUGCAUCUGAAUGUGGUUCAUAUGCUUGAUAGCAGGUUGAUGGAUGCUGAGAAGCAUGUAAAACUUCUCAAGGAAUCAUAUGCUAAACGGAAGGUUUCAGAAACAUCAGAACCUGCUCCAAAAGAAUGAUAAAUCGUCUAAAAGGUUUUUCCGUUUGGAAGUUAUCAAAAUGUCAGUGAAGGACAAAUCAUAAUUGUAAGUCCUCUUUAGAUUUUGGUGUAGCUUUUUGUAUCCUUAUAUAAUACAUGUGAUGCUGCAUUCAAAAUAUUGCUGAACUACAGACCAAUACGUAACUGUACUACUAACUGGAAAUUUGCUUUAUGGUCUCUGCUGAUCUUUUGUCUUUUAUCAGUCAUAUUUUUUUUCCUGGGCCAUAUUAUCAUAUACAUUUGAAACUGAAACCCAAGUGUGCCUUGGCCUCCUCUGUAUGUCUGUGGAUUAUGGUCAAUUUGUGGAUUCUAUUCGGAGUCCAUUUGGUCAUUGAUUGAUUGGAAUAUUAUGGAGAGCAAAUAUCUUUCAACUCUAUAUUCAGUUCUCUAAAAGCUAAUCCAAGUGUAUAGUACAGAUUCAGAUGGUGCAGGAAAUGGAUAUGCCAACAUGGAAAAUUCUGGAGAAGUACAUGGACAUGAGAGGGCACUAUCCACAAUGUUUUAAUAUAUAUACAUUUGCAUAAGUUAGGCUUGAAUUUCUUUUCCUUUGUUUUGAUCAUGUUUGUAAUUAGGGAAGCAUUACUCAUCCUUCUCUUGUUUAUUCCUUUUUAAUGGAAAUGUUUUUAUCUUUGAUCCAACAAAUAAAAAAUGAAAAAUCUUUGCAAAAGUUUGGUUAAGUUUGUUAAAGUUUUUUUAUGAUUUUUCUUUGAAACUAUAUUUUUUUUAUAUGCAAAGAAAAGAUUAAUUCUAUUAAAAGCGCUUAGCCAAAGAGUACACAAAAGUAUGCACAAUGUAUACAAAGAUGCUUAAAAGCUAAACAAAGCAAAGAGAGACACAAAAAACAAUAUUUUCUCCAUACUUAGAGCUCAAUCAACCAAUGAAGUCCAGUAUGGACAUUGAGUAAUAACCUAUAUAAACUCCUAUGCACCCCAAGAAAUUAUACAUAAAGAUUGUUUGUUGCUUGAUCCCCAUUUUCAAUAUUUUCAAAAGCUGUCCAAUUUCUCUCAUUCCAUAUUGUCCAAAAUAAGCACAAAGAAGUUGAUGUCUAAGCUUUCUUCCUCCUUUUUUCUGAUAAAGGAUACAAGCAACCCAAAAGGACACUUCUAACUAAGGAUUGCAUCACCCGCUUUAUACCAAAAAGGGCAUAAAUGAGUUCCUGCAAAAUGACUGCCUUUGAAACUAUACUCCUUUUUCUUAAGUGGAAUGUUGUUUCAUUUGCUAGCAUUCAACAAGGCUUCUGUUGUCCAAACCUUUGAAGCUCCUAAAGUCCUAAUAGCAAGGAAAAUGAUAAAACAUUUAUUUGAAUGUUAUGUAGAUUUCAGACUUUUGAACCCCCUAAAGUCCCUAAUAGUGAGUUCUUGUGCCAUUUGCUAUUUGGCUCUAGGUUCAUGCUGAGCAUUUUCUAACUUUUAAUAAUUGUUUUCCUUUCUUAUUCUGUAUUGAUGUUUUUCAUUUCAUCCAAUUCAGCCACAAUAGUAAAAAACUUAAAAUACAUUAUAGAAUCAUAUGAUCUCCUUGUGGACUUAAGGUGUGCCCCCUUUUUCUAGACACCUUCAAUUUGAAUUGUGGUGUGGCUAUCCAAAAAAAAAAAAUUAUAUAUACAUAGAUAAAUAGAUAGAUAGAUAGGUAUCAAACAAAGACAUUGAUCCUUUACUUAUGUACAUGCUAACCCAAGCUGAAAAAUUACAAAGGAAUGUAAGUUUUAUUUUUUGAUCAGUUUGCCCCUUAUUUUCAAAAGCUUUUUAAUUUCAUCCCUGCCAAAUUGUCCAAAAUAUGCAAAGGGGGGUGGUUUUCCACACAUUUUUCCUUUCCUUCCCUACAAAGAAACCAUGCCAACUAAACAAGAUAUCUUUCACCAAAGAAGGGAUCGUCCAAACUACAUCGAAUAAGGAGAACAAGAGAUGUCAUAGAAUCCUUGCUUUAGUGCAAUGAAGUAGAAUAUGGUCAAUAGACUCCCCCUCAAGUUUGCAAAGAAAUCAUCUAUUUGCUAUCAGUCGCCGUCUUUUGGAGAUUAUCUAAAGCCAACUUUUCCCCCAAUUGGCUUCCCCCCCAAAAAAAAGCUUACUUUGGAUGGGACCCAUGAAUUCCAGAUAAUGUUUGUUGGAAAGUGGAUUACCUUCCUCAUUUCCUAGACUGAAUAGAAAGGUUUGAUUGAAAUAGACCCUUUUUAGCAUCCUUCUAGAUCACCUUGUUAUUAUCUUCCCUUCUAAACGUCUUCAUUAGCAAGUGGCAGUGUGGAGAAAAAGGUCUCAACAAUGUCCAACUUGUAAUCAUUAAAGUGCUUGGUGAAACACAUAAUCCAAUGACCCCCCGCUCCUAAGUCUUCACAUAAAUUUGUUGCCCAGGCCUCCUUUGACAAACCUAACAUGGGCGCACGCACAUAUGCAUAGAUAUAGCGUACACACUCACUCACACACACACAUUAUAGAGAGCCCUUUCAUUUUGAAUUAAAGAAUUAAGAAUGAAUCAAAUCUCCCCAAGUAGGUUUGGAACCUACGACCAAUCUGUUAAUAGUUGACUACUCUGCCACUGAGCUACUGAGGAACAAAGAAAAGAUUAUAGGAAGUACUAGUUUUAGAAUCUAAUUGAACCAAAAGGGUGUGGCGUUUGGGUGUUUGCUCUUUCGAAGGAAAGAGAUUGCAACUGAGGUGGCCUUGAAGUUGGUUGUUUCUGAGAAAGGGCUUGUACAAAAGAUUUUGGGUGAGACUGGUUGGACUGUCAUUGCCCUUGUGGGGUAAGGACUUCUUCAAGAGAGUGGGUGAUACUUGUGGAGCUUUUGCAGCUAUGGAUGUGGAUAGCCAAGAGAUGCCAUUUACAAUGGACUAGAAUUCUAGUAAGCUCCAACAGGAGGGUCCCUAGUCCCUAUGAUCUUGCAUGUGGUGGUAGGGUUUUUAGUCUUCGUUGUUCAGUUAUGGUGGGAGAUCCCACCAUGGGAGUUGGUGUUUGUUUCGAAGGAGGGUUGUAGGGUAAUGGAGGUCAAGGAUGACAACGAGGGCAUAGUUUUAAAAGGUGUGCUUUAAGUGCACCUAGGCUCAAGGCACGACCACUCCCUAGUUAUAAUGCCUCUCUUGCCAAGACAUGUGCCUUAUUGAAGAGGCAUGCCUUAUCAACUUUGCUAUUCCUUUUUAAAUGCUAGUCUAGAAAUUUCUAGUUGUGUAUUGAAACUUAUAUAAUUUCAUUUUUUAUUUAUUAAAUGCUUCUUUUAAAUGUUUGGAAUCUUAAAUUUUUUAUUGAUUAGAUUAGAUUUGAAUCAUAUUUUAUAAGAUUGAUAUGCAUCCCAGGUCGCAUUUCACUUCACUUAGACACACACCUUGUGUUGCACCUUGUUCCUAAGCCAUAAGAGACUUUUGCGCCUUAGGUGCACCUUGCGCCUUUUAAAACUAUGGGUGAGGGAAGGGCACACACAGAGUGAAGUGGAGUUAGAGGUUGGGAAGCGUGCAAAAAGUUUGGGGCAGUCUAAGGUGCUUUUGCGUGCAACCCAAGUUGCUUUUACAUGUUGCCCAAGUUUCAGAUGGCGCAAUUUUUUCUAUCUACACUAGAGCUUUGGAGGCUAGUGGAUAGGUUCGGAGGAUAGUCUCUAAGCCUCCUUGUUUGGCUUGAGUUGGGCUGGUAGGCCAAGCAGGUUCAAGGCCUCUUUCUCCUAUAGCUUGAGUUGGAAGGCCUUGAGUGCUUUAGGCCUUGCUCUUUGUCUAUUGACCUAGACCAACCUGUGUACUUAUGUUGUGCUUCCUUUUGUUGAGUACUUGUUAAGCUCCUGUUAGAUUCAAUUAUUGUUUGCCUAUAAAAUGCAGCACAGAAUAUAGAGGAGAACAUGCAUAUUUUGACCCUUUUUUUGUGUAUUUUGAGAAAAUUAAUUUUAUAUUUCAUUUUUAUUUGAAGGAUUCUUUUACUACAAUGUGGGGAGAUGUUAUUACAUGGUUAAAAAAAGUGUUUAAAUUUUGUUUCUUUCUUCUGCCUCCCCUGAUAAAAAUCUUCCAUGGCAUGAUAUUUAUUUGUGAUCUCUGCAUUGAGGAAAGUUUGACCAUCACAUCUUUUCUUCCUUAUAUUUGUCAGUUCAUGGAGAAUUCUCUGUUGAAAAGUUGGAAAUUGGGAACAAGUUGUAGCAACACAUUGAGCAUGAUGUAACACACAAUGACAACUAUAACCUGAUGUCCUCAUAUUUGCUAUACCUUUGGGUGCAUUGUUUCUUACCAUCCAAUAUGCUGUAGUAGAAAGUGUUGACUGGCUAGCAUUUUGUUUCUUACUAUCCCGUAUGUUCAUGUUUGAACAAAAGUUAUUUGUUGGAGCCUGGUGUUGGUUUUACUAAUUUAUAUGUUAAUUUUAUGAAAAUUGAACAAUAAUAUAACUUCCAUUAAUAACCUCAUGUGAGUGUUAUUAUUACCUUCCAUUUCUUGCUUGGACUGGUGAAUUAUGAAAUAAGUGAUAAAAACCAAAAUAGUUUUUGUUUGUUGUGUUUUGUUUAAUCUACUGGAACAAUUUCCAGUUAUCUACAUAGUGGGGCCAAACUAGCUGUGGCUGAGUGUUUUUUGCAGGCUAAUAAUGGGUGAGACCCAGGAUAGACUCUGAGAGCACAAGCCCUUGAGGUAGAUUAGUGUGGUGGUCAAUAAAAGCUGUUAUGCAAUGUUGCUCUUAUGUUUAAACAAAACAAAUUCCAACCCCAUUUUCCCCUCCACCUCUCCCUCCCCUUGCAAAACUCAAUUAGGGAUCUCAGACUCUGUUCCUGUCACCAGUUCAAUCUGGGGUUUUAGCUUAUGCUGGAAUCUACUCAACAUUCAUUAUACUUGGAUUAUAUUUAUGCUAUAUAUAACCUUUAUUGUGGCCUGACCUGCUCUGUAAUUUAGUACUUGUGGGGCAAGAAAGGACUUUGAAUUUCUUUGAAUUUUUAUGAUGUUGGACAACCUAACUCUUCAUAGUUAUCUUAUGAGCAUGUGCCACUGGAGGAAAUUGGUAUUUGUUUAAGGACCUAGACAAUUUUGCAUAUGUCGAGCUACUCUUUGUUUAUAAGAUUUACCAUGAUGUAGCAUGUCAUCUGGGUCUUUGGAGAGUGUUUGAUCACUAUAUUAUGCCAUCAUGUGCCAGUGAUUUCAUUUUAGAAUAUUGUUCCCUCAAAGAGUUUUUCCUUCCAUCAUGCAGGUUAGCAUUAGUAUUUUAUGAAUCAGCCAUUCACCCCUUCUGUGCUGCCAAGCUUUCAAGUUAAUGGCCUUUUCGGCCUGCUGACCUCGCAGGGUUUUGGAGUGGUUGAUGAUAAUCAUGUCACAGCAAUUUGUGUUCCGAAUGGAAGAUGGAUGAGCAUACUUGCCACUCAGUUGAUCAUUGCUACUAGCAGAUUAAAUAUGUUGUAUAGACCUUGAAGUAGAAUUCUGUCUAGGAUGACCGACUUUAAUCUUAAAAAGGUUAUUUCUUAUAUAUUUUGUAUGUGCUUCUUCACCCUGCAGCAAUAUUUGUCUCCUUUUUUCCUCCAUUUCUAUCCUUAAAACGCAAGAAACAAGUUGUUUAAUGGUGGAGGUCCAAUAAAAAAAUAAAAAAAUAAAAUCAAUUUUAAUAUUAAAACAUCUGGCAUGAGCAAGAAAGAAAGAAUCAUACAUAAACUGAUAAAGAAUUUCAAAACUCAUCCCCUAGAUGUUCUUGGGAUCCAUAACAAAUACAGUUGGCUGUCAAAAUUCUUACUUUCUUUUUCCCACACCUCGGCAAUCAAAUGAGGAUGAACUUUCCUGGAAAUUGACCCUUAGAAUAGAUCUAGAAAGCACAGGGAGCAAAAAAAAAGCAAUUUUUUUGGUUUUUCUUGGGGGUUUUGCAUGGAUUUUCUCGGAAACCAAACAAGGAUGAAUUUUCCUGGAAAUUGAAUGGGGGCGGUGGCGAGAACAGAUCCAGAAAGCGUAUGGAACAAAAAAAAAGCAUUUUUUUUUGUUUUCCUUGGGGGUUUUGCAUGGAUUUUCUCAGAAACCAAACGAGGAUGAAUUUUCCUAGAAAUCAAAUGGGGGCGGUGGCGCGGUGGCGAGAACAGAUCCAGAAAGCGCAGGGAGCAAAGAAAAAGCAAUUUUUUUUUGUUUUCCUUAGGGGUUUUGCAUGGAUUUUCUCGAAAACCAAACGAGGAUUAAUUUUCUCACAAAUCGAAUGGGGGAUGGAGACCCCUAGAACAAAUCCAGAAAGCACAGGGAGUAAAAAAAAAAAAAAGCAUUUUUUUUUUUUUUGUUUUCCUAGGGGGUUUUGCAUGAAUUUUCUCAGAAAUCAAAUGAGGAUGAAUUUUCCCGGAAAUCGAAUGGGAGAUGGAUUUUCUUGGGGAUCAAACGGGGAUUUUUUUUUGCUUUCAUUGCCGCCGCCCACAUUCGAUUAUUGGGAAAAUUCAUCCUCUGUUGAUUGCCGACAAAAUCCAUGCAAAACCCCCAAAGAAAACCAAAAAAAAUUGUUUUUUUUGCUUGCUGACAGGAAAACCUAAAGGAUAAUUUUGGAAAUAAAAAUUUGAACAGUAAAUAGUACAUGAAACCUAUAAUAUUUUUUUUAUUACUCUCAUAUUUAUAUGGAUUUCCAAAAUCAGAGCAUAUAAACACAACUUUCCCAAAAUAAAGCACGAGGUAGCAGAAAUAAAUUGUUCUGGGCUUUAUUUCCUGUUGGCCCAUUUAGGAAAGGAGGAACGCAUAAAAAAUGUGAUUGUCGGGUUGAGGGUAGCUGGGUAGGCGUUGUUGGGCCUUCGGAGUCCCGGCCCGUUAUCCUUCCACCGAAGAGAGCGGGAAGUGAACGCUGCUCUGUGAAACCAGCCUCACGCGGUGCCCUCCAUCUCUAAGAACCCUAAGACCCAGACUUUCGCCCGGAUCGCGGGGCUCAACUCCCCACUUGGAAUGGGCGAACCAGGCCAAUUACCCCAUCAGGCCUUACCAACCCAGCCAGACCAAUCUCCAACCACACUGAUGCCCUCGCUUGAGUCACAAACUCUCGCUACUGAGUUCGGCAGAUGGAUGUCUACACCACAGAUAUUUUAAAGACUUCUUUUCUUGUAUUUCUUUUCGAUGUGGGACGACCUAGAGAAUUCCUGACUCAUUCUUCACCACACAUAUAGGGAAAGCCAAAAAGGGAUAUGAUAUGCUGCCUUUCUUGAACUUUGCUUACAAGAUCGAAAGUAAUUUUCCUUCGACAUGUGUGGCCUGUAUCAAAGAAUAGGAAAAUUAACGCAUAAUUAACGCAUCCUCCAUCCCCUCGAUGCAAAGGUGUUUUGGUAGUCAAAACCUACUUCUCCAAUACUGGGAAAAUAUGUUUGGCUUCAUUAUUCUCAUAAUUCACUUGGGGAAAACCAGGGAUCCAUUUUUACCUUCCAGGCCUAUGAAUGCUUUGUGCUUCUUUCAAUGGGGACAAGAACAACCAUUAGGAAUUUAUCACACAACAAUGCUCCUAAGUCCUAUGGUGGCCUCUAUCAGUGGGCAACAGUUGCUAGAUUUUGAGGGCUUAACCAGUAGCUUCAAUUUUAAGGAGGAGACAUUUUGCUCCACAACUCAUUUACUGGUCCUUAUUGUGGUUGGGAAGAUUUACAGAGAUCUGAGGUCUUGGUCAGAAGAAUUGGGCUUCUUCUUUGUGAAGGGAGUAACUCUAACAAAUCCUCGACUACAUUUAGAAUUUGUGAAUAUCUGAGAUAUAAUCAUCUGGGAUGAUCCAAUUGCUUGUGGAAUUACCCCUUUAGUAGGGCUGUUUGUGGAAUUAGUCAUUUCAUCAAGUUAUACAGUCUGUCUCACCAGCUUACUCAACCAGGAAUGCCUUCAUCCACAGACAAAGUUGAAACGCUGAAGAGCGCGGAGAACACGAGUUGGGUCAUUUUUUAUGUUUUCACCCAAAAAACAUCCAGAGAGUGUAUUGAGGGGAUGACUAUCCUCGAGCCAGUCAAGCUCUCAUGAGCAGGGAGAUACUGGUGGACUUUCUUGAAGUUCCAUGUGUUAAAAAUGUUCCUUGCCAAAUAUUGCAAUGAUUUUGGUACUUCGAACAGUCAUUCAAAUUUGGAGGUUUCGGAUGUGAAGCAAAUUCAGGCUCUUCCAUUCAUCUCUGUAUGGUUUUUCCAAGGGUGCUCUGGGGCUUCAUUUCUAAAAACAUCUGAGUGAAAAUUUGUGAGAGCUAGAGAAUCCAGUGGUCUCCUCUGCCUGCAUGAAGAUAUAUAGUUUGAGGAUGGAUGACUUCAGGGGGGUUCUCUUUUGUGAUCAUCCAUUUUUUUCUCUAAAUAUUCCACCAUGUUUACUAAACCUGAGCUGUUUUGAGGUCCAGUCCACCAUUUUUGUCACCACAACAAUUCUUCUCGGGGCUCAUUUAAUUCAUCAUACAUAACUGCUAUAAGAGAGACUAACUCAUACAAACAAAGGUAGUUGGGAGUCUCCUGAUCACAACCCUUCAACAAUGAAGGUUAGACAACCGACUGUUUUCUCUAUUAUACCAAAAUACUAAACCUUUUUAUAUAACAACUUUUGUUAAGAAAAAUAAGAAUAAGUUUCACUACAACUUUUAUAGUACUUUGGGUUAGUCUGGACACAUGAAAAUUAUCAAAACUAAGCCAAAGUGGAUUACUUGUUACCUAUAUUCUAAAAUGAAAUUAUCAAAUACUCGAAAGGUUUUUUACUUUAUCAAUUCAAGACUUGGGGUUUCACAAUUCAACUCUAGGAAUAGAACCCUAGAGUGAACAACAGUUUUUCCUUUAUGAUGAUCUUAAGGUUUUAAUGUAUAAUGAUGGAUUGAAAUCAAUCUAAGUUCUAUAACUUAGAGUUGCAUUCCAACCCUAAUUUAUGGUUCAAUCCCGAUACCUAAUUAUCAUCAAAUAAAUGAAACUUUACUACUCUUGUAGAUUUAUUGUACAAUAAGUGAUGGGAGAAAUAACAUAAAUAACUAUGGAUCAAGAAUUUCUAGUUUCCAUAUUGAUAUACUGUAUCAUCUCCUAAUUCAAAUUAUCUUGAAGAGUUUCUUGUUUUCAACAUUUUUACCUUAAAUUUUUAAUAAUGUCAUUACUAAUUCCUUUUUCCUAUUGUUUCUCUUUUAGAUUUCUAACCUUAGAUUUUCAUAUUUCACAUCCCAAUAUGGCAUUUACCCUCUCAUAGUGGUAUUGUCACUCACACAAUUUAUAGAAAAAGUUAAAACAUUAUUCUUGAAUUGAAGCAAACCUCAAGAAUCUUCAAUGCUCUCUCCAAAACAGUAAAGAAUGAACUAAAAUCCCUACUAACCCUAAAAUGUAAAAAGACAAACUAGUCACACGGCAUACCCAUAUAUAUUGGCCAAAAUAUUAAAAAAAAAAAAAAAAAAAAAAAAGUCCAUGAAUUUUCUAAAAAUAACAUUAUAUCUUUGAAUAUUGAAUCAUUCAAAUUCUUCUUGGGUAUAUAGUAGAUGCUUGGGAGGUCUAAAGAUUGAAAAGUUUGUAGGAUUUGAAGGACAUAUUUCAGAGCUGGGGGAGCCAAGUUCGGUUUCAAAACGUGGAGUUCAAAAUAUUAGAACUAAAAAUUUGGAGGAGUUUGAUGGAUUCCAUAUUGAUAUCAUUUAAUUCCUAUUGGCGGCCCAUUUGAAAAAGAGCAGAAAAAAUGUGGUUGUCGGGUUGAGAGAGGCUGGGUAGGCGUUGUUGGGCUUGAAGGGUCCCGGCCCGUUGUCCAUCCACCGAAGAGAGCGGGAGGUGAACGCUGCUCUGUGAAACCAGCCUCACGCGGUGCCCUCCAGCUUUAGGAACCCAAACACCCAGGCCUUAGCCCGAAUAUCGGGGCACAACUCCCUACUUGGAACGGGCAAGCCAGUUAAAUCACCCCACCAAGCCCUACCAACCCAGCCAGGCCAAUCUCCAACCACACUAACGCCCUCGCUUGAGUUACAAGCUCGCGCUGCUGAGCUCGGCGAUUUGUUGUUUACACCACAGGUAUUUUAAAGAAUUGUUUUCUUAUGUUUAUUUCCGAUGUGGGACGGCUUAGAGAAUUGCUGACUCAUUCACUCAAUCCUCGCCACAAUAGGGAAGCCAAAAGAGGGUAAGAUAUGCUACCUUUCUUUAACUUUGCUUACAAGAUUGAAAGCAAUUAUCUUCCCACAUGUGUGGUCUAUAUUAGGAAUUAUGGGGAAGAGUCUGUGUGGAUUGGCGUCAUUCCUCUUGAUUAAAGCAUUCUCCAUCCCCUCGAUGCAAGGUGUUUUGGUAAUCAAAACAUACUUCUCCAAUACUGG
rnacentral:lncRNA from 1 species